rnacentral:lncRNA from 1 species
AAAACGUAUAUAACUUAUUUGAACUAUGAAAUAUUUUGAGUUGGCUACAACAACUUUCAAAAUUUUGACUUUCAAAUAUAAGUCAAUUAACAGUAUUAUUUAUCUUUACAUGUUUAGUUAGUAUAUUUCAUGUACUUUUUAUAACUAUAAGUUUAUUGAAGUUGGCAAUUGGUUUAAAUUUUAAAGUAAAAUCACUGUUUGAUUGGCUCAAGUCAAACAAAUUGAUAGGCUAAGUAGUAAAAUUAAAAUUUUAAAAUAUUGGAUAGUCGAUUCAAAAUGAUCUAUAGCUCAGAUAAGUUUUAUAUAUUUUUAGAUAUUUUCUUUGACCUGCAGUUAUUCUCUUUUUUUUCCAAUCAAUAUUUUAUAAAAUUACUUAAAUCUAAGUUUAACUAAUUUUUUAUUAAGUUUUUAAAGUACAAGACAAGAUUCAGACAUUUAGAUUCUCAUAAGUAAAUUUUGGUGAGAUACUGAUUUGUUUUUCUUUGUAUCCACUCUACACACACCUAUUUUUUCUGUCAGUAACAGCAUGUUUUUUCUGUUUUGUUUUUGUCCAAAAUGGUGAACUUAUGUACGAAAUUCAGUUAGCACCACUAUAAAUUUCAUAUCUACAUAUUAUGAAAAAAGAAAAAAAAAAUUCAAAAACUGAACAUUACUUGUUUGUAUCUGUUAGGAUUUGGUUAGAUUUAUAGUUAAAUCCUAUUUGGAUAAGAAUUAAUAUUUAAUCUGUUUGAGAUAAAUUAAUAUUUAAAUAUUAAUUAGAAGAUAAACCUAACUAGAUUAGAAUUAAUAUUUAAAUCUAUUAGAAAUUGAUUAAAAUAGAUUUAGAUAUUAAUUAAAGUAUAAAUCCUAAAUAUAUUAGAAUUGGGGUGCAUUUUAAGUUGAGCAUUAUAAAUAGGCAUUGUGGCUCUCUUUUUUGAGAGGAGUAUAACCAUUGGGGUGUCGUACCAGAGAGAGAAAAAGAGAGAGAGAGAGUUAUUUUAGUGCACCUUGUGCACGGGUGCACGUGGAAAGGUCUUCUUUGUGAAUUUUAUAGAAACGACAGAAUGGUAGAAGAGAUUCAGAAAGAGGGCUCGGGUUGUAGCUACUCUGUGUAGAAGAGGAGUCAGGUGUAAUCUUCUUUUAUUUAAUGAAUCUUAUUUUACCUGUAUAUUUUUCUCUUUUAUGAUUGUAUCAGAUUUUGCUGAGAAGACGGGUUUAUGGUAAAAACCCGAUUCGACGCUUCCGUUGCGGAAUCCCAACAAUCGAUACCGAAUCCACAACAGUCGGUAUCGGAGCGGAUUGCGAAUUCACGAGAUCCAGUACCGGGGCGAGUACCGGAUUCCCAACAGUAUCAUGAUCUUGUAUGUCUUUCUUUUUCUUUUUUCUUUUUUCUUUUUUUUUGGCAUUGUAGAGGUUUUAUUUGCACAUUAUCAUGAGCUGUUGCGCCUCUGCAACAAUUUGGGCCGCGACGACGGGAGAUUAUUCAUGGUUCCAGAGGGUGCUUCUGAUUGUUGGCGCAUUCAUGUGUAUUCUAGUUCAGCGUUUGUCCAUUCCUCCUGCAAGCAAGUAGAUGCAUUUGUGUUUGAACAAAUUAAACCUUGUAAUAUUGGUAAUGAUAGUAUUUCCUAGAGAAUGACUAAGCCCUCGUUUCGCUACAUUAUGCGAUUGUUUUUGUUUUGUUUUGUUUUGUUUUGGUUUCUAACUAUAAGAGUUAGUUUAAUUAGUGAUGUAGAACUCAAAAAGUUAAAUUGUGUGUCUCAGCAACAGGCCAAGAGAAAACAUCGAAAAGUGGUACUAGUUCUCUUUUAUCUGCCCCGUGUUGUGUAUCAUUUUUGCCAAAUUAAGAGUUUUACGGGAGUUCUUACCUCCGAUCUCCCUAGUGUUCUACACCUAAUCCUCCGAAUUCGGAGGAGAGUGUACCAAUGAUGAAUCUACUGCUGCUGCUGCUGCUGAUAUUUGCGACAUAAUUUGUGCUCUAGGGGGUGUUUGUCCAAUGUUAAUGUAAAUAUCUUGUAUUAGCCAAUAAAGCUAUGAACUUGGAUCCUUUUAUAAGUGAGCGAGCUCAAUCCAAGUCGAAAAUGAGCCCCUUUUUUUGGACGUUUUCAGUAACAUUUGAUUCAAAAGUUCUAAAGACAUGGAUUGCGAAGUUAUAGAGUGGUCUUCUCAUUUAAACGUGUCAGCUGUUCUUUGCUCUUUUUUCUACCAUACGACGCUUCAAAAGCUUUCCCCAGUUCUUUUUGUACUAAGAUGGUUUGAUGAUCGAUUUUAACUAGUGAUAAGCUUCAUCAAGUGAUUUGAGAUAAUUAAUUGUACUUUUAUGUCAAUUGAACUGACUAUUAGAUUACAAUUGCAACACGAUGGUUUGGAUUUAGGGUCACGGUAGCACUUCACAAAUCUUCAUUGUUUUACUUAACCAUUCUAGGUUUCACUAAUUCACAUCAUGAACAGAUUAGGGAAAUCAACAUUGAGACAGGUCGAUAAAUGUGUUUCGUCCUCGUAAUACGUUUCUUCCCCGCAGCUCAGCCUUAUUCCUCGUCGUCAUCCUCCUCUGGUAGCCCCGCAUCAUCCCCGAUCCCCUCGAGGAGUGCAUCCACGUCCUCGCCGAGCUCCUUGAGUCUCGUGCUCAGCUUCUCCACCUUGCUCUGCUCCUGGCCGAGGCAAACUAGCAGAUCAUUCAAUUCAGCCUCGCUCUCCUUUUGGGCUUCUUCCCUUGCCUCUUCCCGUAUAGCAUCGAUAUCGGGGUAGGGCGCUUUCUCUCCCUUCCGAAGUGCUUUUGCUUCAGCUUCUAGCUGGAGGUUGGCCUGUUCUAGGCUGUUGUAAGCAUCCGACAGGCUUUUUAAAUCGGCUUCUAGCUUUGUGGCCACAUUUCGAUAGUUGGUGGCUUCAGUUUCUAUCUUCAACUUCUCGGAUUUGAGCUUCUCAAUGCGUAGGGCUGCUUCUUGGAGAUCUUGGCGAAGGGCUUCAGACUGAACUCUCUCCCUGCUGCUGCUACCACCUGGCUUCUGGGAGGAAUCAGAUCCGCUGCCUCCGCCUGUCCUCACCAGUUCCUCGGCUAAUGCGGCAUUUCGACUAAGUAGGGCCUGAAGAGGUCAAAACCGAGAUGAUAAAUUAGAGAUAACAUCCAAAUAAUUACUGGAAAUUCAACUUUCAAAUAAGGAACUGCCGACUUAGACCAGAACCUUUUGCAUUCCAACUGUUGAAUCUCCUUAUUAUUAGCUGGGAAAAAUUAUAGAAACAAUUUUCAUAAAUGCCAUCUGAAAAGGGCAUUUUCAAGCAUUUAUCUAUCUUUAUUAUGGGCAUCUGUGAUAUUUCAGACUUUUGGAGGGGAAUACACACCAAUUUUAUGUUUUUGAAACUAAAUGUCUGGUCAAUAAAAGUUAGGCAUGUAGCUGAAAAGAAAGAAAACUUCGAUAACAAACCUGCAUCUCGCUGCAUUGCUUCUCCACAAAUGAUCUCAACCGUUUGAUGUACUCUUCAUCAAUCUCUCCAUCUCUCUGCUCCAACUCUGCUGGCAACACUGUGACCUUAUCUUUCGUACGACUGAAGAUGUCCACAACACGUUCUCUAAUAUCACCUUCGAGCUUACAAAGAAAAUUCACAAACUGUGAAUCAAAGAUUUCAACAAGGAUUGGAUGUCCAUCCUCAGUCUUUUCCUCAUUCUCAAUAACAUCCUCAGUUUCAGCCAUACUAGCUGUAUUCGAUCUUGUAAUUGGCUUGCGCUGAUGGGAUGACGUGGAGAGAGAAGUAAAGUUUUUCUUUAACUCGUCAAACUUGAGGAAGUAUGAGGUUAGACCAAUCUUUUGACUUAUAGCAUCAACAAUGGCGAAGGCAUCUCUCCCAUUCUGACCACUUUUAUUGAAUACAACACAUUCUCCCAAUACAAUAGCAGCCAAUCCACGCACCCAUAUAGUGGAAUUAGCAUUUGACACGAGCUCGAGUAGAUAUGUGAGAUAUGGCGGCGAAUCCAGAAGGCAGUUCACCGCACUGGGACAGUCGGCAAGCCAUGUGAUCAGUAGCUUGAGAAUAAGCUGUUCGGUAUAUGACUCCCCUGUUGAAAUGGCGGGGUUGUCAUCCUUAGUAUUUCUUGCAGAUGUGGAAAGAGCUAAGUGCUUCACGAUUCGGUGCAAGAGUGGUUCUUUCGGGCCUAAGGUUGGCACAGGUGUUUCGAGCUCAAUGCGUAGUACCUGAAAUUUCAGCAAGCAUUUUCAGAUUGGUCCAGCUUUUUUUUUUUUGGUCUGGUCCAGGUUAAUUAGAACAGCUAUUUUCAAUAACUACUUGCUUAAGAAUAUGCUAAUCAAAGGGAUUGUGUGUAUAAAAUCCUUAUAAGAAUAAACAUAAUUAUCACUAAAGAGGAGGAUUAGGUCAAUCCACAUACGCGUUCCUUGCAUUGGACAUUGUCCAUCAGUAUGUGAGAAAGAACACUAGCUGCUCUGGAACAUGCCUGCAUUUCAAUGUAAAUAUAUUAGUACAAUAUUUCAUGCAACUGUCAAAUCACUAUCGGAAAAACAAUGGCGCAUUAAUUCAUUGAAAUAUUUGGUAUCAAUACGAUGGAAGAAAAUAAGAAGUCUUAAGAGUUUCAAGCAUAAAAUUUAUGAGCUUUGCGGAAGCUUCAUGUCAAAAGUUUAAUACCCACUGUCCUCAGUCCUCAGCAAUCAGCAUUUCCAUGCACUGAUGAAUUACAGUGUAGGAGAGAGAGAAAAAUUAAAAGGGAAACAGUACUAGACAUAUCCUAAUGUACAUGUUACUUAUACCUCAUGAAUGGAUCAAUUGUAAUGAGCAGGCAUUGAAAACUGUAAGGCAUAAUAAUAGAUAUGAAGAUCUGAAUCAUGUGGAGAAACAGAUAUUGUAGCUUCAAUACAAACAGACAAAUUGCGUAAUAAAACUUAAUUACAGAGAGAUCUUAGCAGUCUCCAUCUCGAUUAUGUGAAGCACAAAGAUUAGUAUUCAAAGACAGGUACUUAGAAAAGGAUAGUUUUAUUGCAGUGCCAUUUAGUUGAAAAAUCAAUAAAAUUAUCGUUACACGAAUGACAGGAAGCAACUUAAAGCUCACCAUAUGAAACCUCAAAACUCACAACUUACCUCAAAAUCUUCAUUAGCUUCAGUUGAUAUUAGCACUUGCAGAAGCAUACUGCCAAACAAGAACAACUAAAAUUAAUUGAAAGUUUUUAUGAGGAAACCAAAAUUCUUACGUCUAGGUAUGCACUAGACCAAUAAUUACAAAAGAUAAUUUGGUGUCUUAAUAAAUGAACGAACCUUCCAAAUGGCAUACUGACACCAACGUCAAGAGUAGCAUGACUUGACAAGCUAGCAUCAGAAGUCACUGUUGAAGCUAAUAAUGCUUGACCAUCUGAAUUUUUCUGUUGCAACAUGAAAAGUUACUCUUCUUUUUUCAUGUAUACCAUGAAAAGAUUAACUUACUAGCAGAAUCCAUUGAGAUUGGAUGCAAUUCAAAAUAAUCAUUUAGUAUUAGAAUGAUAAACAAGAAAUAUAGUUUUGAAUUAUCUAAACUUCAACUGUCUAAUGAGACGUUUUUACUUCUCUUUGCGGAAGUCUGUAGCAUGAUUGUUUUGACAGUGUCCUCAAAAUUAAUGACCCUAAUACAUGGUAUAGCAUCCGCUGAUGGAUCAACCACUAUAUUUCUAUUUCAAGGAAAAUCAGGGGGAAGGAACCAUGGGGAUAACAAGUUGCAUUAAAGCUUAUAAACUCUUUGGUCUGUGUACUACUCAUUUUAACUGUUGCUGUGGAUUAGUUAAUUGGAGAAAAACAACAGUUUAAACUGAGGAUGUUAAUAGCAAAAUAGUUCAGGUUUAUUGGUAUAAAUACUGCAUCAUUAGAAAUAAUCCUUUAGUAUAGUGUAGCAGGUUGGCAAAGUUCUCUGCAAUAAGUGUAUUUAAUGAGUUUUGCAUUCUAUGUCCCAUUAAAACAGUAUCUAUUGAGCAUCAAAAGGGAACAUUCAUAUACGAUGACGAGUUGUACAGUUUCAAAGGUGUAGAGUCUUUUUUUUUUAAAAAAAAGCAUAUUGUAGAAACUUAAGAAGGAACAACCUCACAAAAGCACUUGAAGACAUAGCCGGCAGCGACAAAUUCCUGUAGUACAGAUGUACGUAUGAGAACACGAAAAAUGGCAUUUAGGGCAGGCUCGACAUGGGGCUCUUCUCCGACUUGCUUGCUUGCAAGAGCAUCAAGAUUCUGAGGAUUUCUCGCAACCAAAUUGCCUAUGCAUCGCAAAGCCUGAAAAAGGUACAUGUAUUUGUUAAAUAGGUAAACAGCAAAAAGUAUCAGGAUAUGCAUGUUUACAACAUGAUUGAAAAUCAAAGAAUAGCUUAUGUACCACCAAAAAAGACAGACCCACAGUUGAAGGGAAAAUAGAUUGUUUACUUGAAGAAAAGUUUUACUAUAUAUUUUGGCAAGUAAUUUUCUCAACUAUGCAUCAUUAAUUAGGUAUUCAUUUAUAAGGUUGAGUACAAUGGCCAGUAAUGUGGAAGGAGCACAGAAUUACUUUCUCAUAACAAACAAACCGAAAAAAAAAAAACAAGAGCAUGAAGGUAGUAAAGCAAUUUCCUUCUUAGCUAAAGCUAGACAAAUUAUCUAAGUUUGCUCGUGCUAGACAAAUUAUCUAAAUUUGUUCAUGCAUGAUAUCCAGUGAUUAUAUGCAUAGGUAAUAGUUACCUGAUGAAUCAAGUAUCAUAGAGGAUUAAGUCCCACAAGAACAGAUGAGAACAAAGGGCUGACGAUAAGGAGAUAUAUGGAAAUAACUGAUUUGGACCUAAACGUUACACAUUCUAAUGAUAUGAGUGAAGUUAGGUAGUGGAGACUUUGGUAAGCAAAUAUUGUGCAACGUAAUAAUUUAUAGGGAAUUAUAAAUCUUUGUAUAAUGGGUCUUUAAUUAAAUAUUUUUAUUCUGCAUGAUGAGCCUUUAGUAAAAGAUUUUUAUCAUUCAUUUACAUAUUUGUUCGUGUAACAAUUCUAGUGCUCAGUGGUUGAGGAACCAAAUAAUAGGACUAAAUGAAAUUGAAUGAUGCACAUGCCACUAAUGAUAUGAAGAUUUCCGCGUAAACAAUCAAAAGGGCCACCAAAUGUCUACAAAAUGCUCUCAUUGUAAUUAAAGUAUCUUACCAAACAGCGCACUGCAACUGAAGCCCAUUGGCUCUCUACUCCCAAGAGUAAAAGAUGGUCCAAAAUUUUCUUCUGCAAUUUUUUUUUGUAGGCAGUAACGUGAUAAGUCACACUUCAGGACUAGAACAGAUGUUUAAAAUUAGGCUACAAUGCAAACAUGCAGAUAUACCUGCGCAAGUGCAGUUUGAUUUGAUAGCCUAUUAGCAUCUUUACCUGGGUCACCUGCUGGUCCUCCGAUCAGAAGUGAUUCAACAGUUUCCAAUGCAUUUAGAAGAUUUACUGUCUAAAAGAAAUGGUGCUUUUGUGUGAAAAACCAUACAUCUCAACAAUAGAAAAAAAGUGAAACUCAGGUCAAGAGUGUGGUAAUAUCUAAAUUACAACAUCCUAUAGCAUGAGGACCUAAUAUGCAGUAAAACAAACAAAAAAAGGAUCAAUUUUACCUUUUGUUGAGUAAAAUUGUAAGCACUACCUCUCCGUAGCUUCAAUAUUGAUACUAAAGGAUCAAACCCAAUCGUUUCCUUCAAUAAUAUCUGAACAGACAAUUUCAAUAUCAGAGACAGAUAGUAAUUCAAAAUUGUUGGCUUUAAGAGGCACUAACCUGAUUAGAUGCAUUAUUACGAAUAAGAUUAUUCAGCAAUUCUAGACAAUCCUGUACAGCAACAAAAACCAUUUAAGUACAAUAAAAGGCAAAAUUGACAAGCAUUUGGGAAAUUAAAAACAGAGACAAAUAGCUAAACCAUUAAAAUUAGAAGAACAUCACAUUCUAGACAAUCCCGAAAGUAUAUCAACAUGCAGAAGAAUGGAUGAUAUAUUGUCAACAUUUAAUAUACUACCUAAUUAAAUGUAAAUAUAGAAACAAUGAAACAACAAGAUAUUAGAAGUCUGAAUAUAAUAAUUGGGUAUUAUAUGGUGGCACUGAAUAAACAGCAUUUGUACAAUGUAAAAGGUCUUACAGAAUAACAGUUUAUUCACACAUUGAAUAAGCCGCAUUCCUUCAAAUAUGAUAAGAAACCAAACGUAACGAAAGAGAAAAUCAGGAGUAGGAUAACAGUUCAUUUCAAAGAUGGCCAGUCUAACUUUCAUAUCAAUCAAAAUAUUGGUAAAGUGAUCAACUGUCCCACAUGGACAAAAGUUCAAAGAUAAUCACCUGCACAACAACACCUCCAUCGGAACCUCCUUCCUCUUUGAUAAUGCUGAAUAUCUUCUCAAAUGCACCCUCGAAAACAACAAUUUUUUGAAUUUCCUGAAAAGCCAAAAUGUAAGAACAAUAAAAGAAUUUUGUUAAACAACUGAAACCAAAGGACAGGAACCAUAGUUUACCUCUGCCUCUCGAGUCAAAUAAGUAAGAAGCAACAAGGCUUCAUUUCUUAUAACCUACAACACAAGCUGAACUGUCAGUCUAGAGAACUGAAAGGGUGAUCAAGCUGCAUUAAAAAGGUAAAACUUUAAAAAACAUAAAAUAUUUCAAACGUUGGCAAACAUAAAGAUCCCAGAAGCAUUAAAAAUGUAGAAUUGCCAACCAAUAAGAUGCCCCAUUGGGUAGCAGAUUUUAAUGGGGGAAAUUUAAAACCCAGCGCCCCCCCCCCCACCCACACAACAGGAAAAAGAAAAAACCCAAAACAGUAUCGCCUUUUGGUACUUUACAACCUUCUGGCCUAAACAGUUUUACCACCCUAUGGGUGCUAUUCAGGUCACCUGUAAGAACCAAUUAAGUAUUGUUGAAACUAGGCACCUUACAGUUACACGAUUUAUUAAAUGGCUAUAAAUUGGGAGAACUAAUAAGAUCAAGAAAUAAAAUCCUUCUUUACAGCAUUCUAAUGGUUCACAUAAUUUUCAUGGUGUUCUAAUGACAGGUCCUUACAAAAACUGAAUUAGGGUUUGCUACAGUAGUAGCAAUAAUGCAAGCACAAAAAAUAGUGGGAUAACAACAAACCUCGCGAUCCAUAAGCAUAUCCAUUAGACGAGUUAUACCACGAGGAAUUGAAAGAAUUGCUUCCUGUAAUCUAGAACAUGAAAAGCAAAGACUGGAUUAAGACAAUUGUUAUAUAUCUACCUCUCAACAGAGAAAAUUUGUAAUCACCUUUUCGGAAAAUGUGUAACAAGGGCUGUUAGAAGCUGCAGGGUAUAGUAUCGCACAUAAAAGUCAUCCUCUGACUGCAAAAAUGAUAGUUGACCCACAUGCCAGAAGCCAAUCAAGUCACAGGACUGAAGAAGUAAAAAAAAUAAAAAAUAAAGAAGACAGUCCUCACCAAUAAACUUAGCAAAAGAGAUAUACUCUCCGCUUCUCGAGAAAGCAUGUCGGAAUUCAAUGAAGCAGGUUGAACCGCAUUUUUUGACGCAUGCAAUGUUUCUAUUGGUGUCAAGGCACUGACAAGAGUUUCUAAGGCACCUCGGACCAUUUCAACGUCAUCACGUUCUUCUUUAAUAACAUUCAGAAGUAUCGGAAACCCUGUUUUAGAACGCAUCAAUCAUGUUUCAAUGAAUUUUGUCACAUACACAAGGUUAAUAGAACCAAAAAAAAAGGCAUCUACCCAUUGCCCCAAAAGCCAUCUGAGCUGAACUACUUUCUGCUACAAGCGACUGAAGUUCCGCCAUAGCAGCCCGCCUAUCGUCUGCUAACACACCAUUGCUAAUACGAUCGAGGAAACGCUCAACAUAGCUGGAACAGAACAGGCAAUUUAANGACAUCGUCUCCCGACAGCUUCUUCCACCCAUCAGGUCCAACAUGAUAAACUACAAACAAACAAAAAAAAAAAAAAAAAAAAAAAAAAAAAAGAAUUCAGGAAUACCUGUUUAGACUUGGAAACAGCUAGAAAGUUAAAUUCAAGCCUUCAACCAUCAUAAAAGUGAGCAAGAGGACAAGAAGAAAAUCCUCCUAUUUAGACAAUUUAAAAUUAUAUACAGUUCCCAUAUAUUUGGGUAAUUUUCUUCUAAAUUAAACAGUUCAUAGCUGACACUACUUGCUUGAACUGUCUUACUUGAAACUUCAUAUAUGUCAUGCAGAAUUUUCUACUUAUAUAGCCAACUGCGGCAUAUGCAAUAUAUGUUAUCUCCACAUCCGUAUAUUAUACCCGCUUUAAGAACAUUGAUUCAUUAAGGCAGCUCAGAAAGUACCCCAAAAGGGGGUAAGUUGAACUGAUGGUCUCCAAACUUUUCUUAAAUCUUUGUUCUUGUAAAGAUGACAAGCGACACUGCAAACUUAAUGCGUCCCAACUAAGCCCCUUGCAUCAUCUCUUAUUAAGUAACAGCAAAGCUGACUCGGCAACCACGGUGCUUACACAGCAGCAAUGUCAAUGUGUGACAGAAAAGAUGAUGUUAAGUGAUGGCAAUAGUGAUGCAAACUUGUCAGCUUGACCUCACUCAAAUUAAUUCAAGAUCAUGGAGAGGACUUUAUCAAAAUUACAGGUGUCGCUUGUCCACCUUUAGAGAAACAAACUGAAGGGGAAACUUUAGGAGUUCAGAAACCAUCAAUGCAAUUUAUCCUAAUGACACAAAGAUAGACAGUUAGCAUUAGUUUGAAGUUUUGAAGUCAAAAUGAUAAUAGUUUUUCAACUUUGCAUACCUCCUCCAAGUAAACCAAGUGGAAAAAGAAAACAUAAGAAUUGUUGUUAGAGCUGAAACUUCAGGUUACUAAGUACUUCAGUUGCGAAAACAAAAAUUUGUCAUGUGCACUCUAUGUUGGUUAACUAAAUUCCAAUUUAAUAAGCUAGAAUUAUUUAGUUCAUAUAGAAAAUUUUUUUUUAAAGAUGAUCAAGGAGGAAAUCUUUCCCAUGUCUAUCUGUCAUUAGGAUCUUAUUAUAACCCAAUAUUUGUCUUGAAAGGAGCACAAAGAAGGUCACAGUUUUGUCGCUCAUGAGACGGUCAGUGGUCACUGAAGUAGCUGACUCUACUCUGACAUUGGACAACUAUACUCUGUAGUUUUAAGCUAUUAAACUAAAGAGUAUUCCCGAGUUAUCAUUUAAAAAGGAUAGUAAAAUGCAACUAAAAAGAAUUGUCAUGAAGCUUUCCAGUGAGUAUAACUACCAAGAUUGGCCAAACUUCUCUUAAUUGAAGAAUCAACAAAACAAAAUUAUAUAGCUGAAUCUAUUGAAAGAAAUAAUGAUAUAAAUCAAUCAGCAUGAAAAAUAAUGUUCAGAGAGAACUAAUGCCAAACAAUACAUUAAGAAAAGACAUGCACUCUUCAGUUUAAAAUAUAUUCAAAGAAAUAAAAUUACUACCUAUCUUCACUUGAAGCAGAAUUUUCACUUCCAAAAACAAAUCCACCAAUUCCCUGACGUCACAUUCAAUAGAUCAGUUUCAGAAACACAUCGAAUGAUGUAAGGAGUUGUAUAUUAAGGUUUUUUUUUUUUAGAAAAGAGAGAACAUAAAAGAAACCAUAAAGGAGUACAUUUAAAAGGCAGCAGCCAUAAAGGCUUAAGAUAUCAAGGUGGUUCAUGCCCGUGUUCUUCUCUGCUAUUAAGUGCCAUGCAUGUUGGGCAAAAUGGCAGGCAAACAAUCACCUUCUAACAUCAACUUGUUUUACUGGAAUUAUAAAAUAAUUAUGAGCAUCCCAAAUCAUAAGACAGAACUGUACUGUACUGCUAAGUGAAAGCAGAAUUCUGUUUUCUAAUCUUACAUCCAGUCAAAAAGCCUAAGUACUAUCAUACCACCUUCUAGUAACACUAAAUCUAGCCCACUAUUAAAUCCACAAUAAAAUACCGAAUUUUAACAGCUUUGAUCAUAUGCAAAUAAGUUAACUGUAUCAAGUAUAUCCCGACACAAUAAAUGUUUACAGGGAUAAGAAAAUUUGAAAAAAGAAGAGAAAUCAUUACGCGAGGAAUGGACUAUGGCAAAAUAGCUUCAGGAGAUUUUACUAGGUUUUCAACACUGAAAGAAGUAAAAUUGUAGCUAAAGAACGAUAUAAAGCUAGCACACAGAUAUUCGUAUAAUCAUGGUAAGGAAAGCUAUACAAAUUAAACAAUCAAAAGGUUUUCAAUAACUAAACCUGCAUGAUAUUCCCCGCACUCCCAGCAAUUCCUCUGAAAUAAGCUGAUUUAGAAUCCAUAACAAAAAGCUUGCAGAAACUAACUAGAUUCUACUUAAUAUACCCUGCAAGAGAUCACAUAAAUUCAAAAUGAGGUUACUGUAUACAACAUUCCCGAAGCAUAACUGCUCCUGAGUGACGAGAACCCUUCAACAAUUGAUCUCAAUUAGGGCUUCGUUCACGAAUCCUUCAUGUAGUGGAUUGAGCUACGGGUAAAUUAAGCGAUGAUUCGAUUGAUUAAAUUAAGGAAAAAAAUGAGUAAAAAUAGCGGAAAAAUAGGAAUCAAAGUAGCCACGAUCCCACGCAAAAGAGAAGUAGAAAACCUUCGGAUCGACGCAUAUAACACACGUACCUGGAUCGAGAAGAGGGACUUAGCUAUCAAAUUGCUUAUAUCUAGCCCUAAAUCCACGAUAAUCCGAGAGAGAAGGAGAGAUGGUGAUGGAGAUUGGAGAGAGAAACAAUGGCGAUCGAGGGGAUGAGGACGAAGACGAGCGUUUGGGUUCCCAAUGGUGUGAGAGUAAGAGGAAAAGAGAUCGAUACAGAGCCAGAGGAACUAUUACGAGGAAGCGUACACUCGACUCGUUUUUGGUUCCAUUUUAGAUGUAUUUUCAAACCGAACCCAGGGUUUUCUGGUCUAUCUCUUUAAGAACCGAACCGAACCGAACCAUAUCGAACGGAAUUUACCCGCAAAACCGCACUGAACAAACCAAUGCAAACCCGCGGGUUGACUCCAGGGAUGCGGCGCAGGGAUGAAAAUAGGUCCAAGUUGGCAUGGCCGUCAAAUUCUUUUUUUUUUUUUUUUUUUUUUUUUUUGAUCUGUACCGACUUUCAUUUUGAUCCGAUUUAAAAAAAACAGUGAGUAAGAGAAAAAAAUUCUGUUUAUAUCUGUAAUAUUAGGACAUUCGAUAAAUUUCAAUAAAAAAGCCGGUUGAAAUGAAAGAGAAUAAAAAUGAAUCAGAAGUGAGAAACCCAAUUUUGAAUCCCUCAUAAAAGGGCAAAUUUUUUUUUGGAAUAAGUAAGCAGUAAAAUUUCUAGAGAAUUUCUAACUUUUUUUUGGAACCUAUCUUUUAGAAUAUGAAAGUGAGCAUUUGUAGUUUUUUAUGCAUCACAAAAAAAAUAUACAGUAUGCAUAAUGAAAAAAGAAAAUAUAUUAAAGAUAUACUUAAUUUAUUAUAUAAUUUUUUUUUUUGUUCGACUUUGAUUUCAAAUCAUUUCAAAUACAGUUUUUAGAUUUGAGGUGCAGUAUGGUUGGAAAAAAAAAAAAGAAAAAGAGGCAGAUUGGGUUGAGUUGGUCCGUUUGCCGGAUCAAAACCUCCUUUUGCUCAAAUUGCGAACCAAACCAAACCAAAAUAAAUCGGCUUGGUCUGACUUGCUCGGUUGGGUUCAUUAUUAAAUAGAUAGACCUGAUAACUUUAAUUCGAAUUGCACAAACCUCUAAACUAGUUUAUGAAUACUAUAAUUACAAAUUAGUUAUAAACAUUCAAAAUUGCAGGCUAGAACUGAACUAUAUUGACAGACAAAAAUAGAAUUUUAAUUAUACUUAUAUUUUUUUUUGAAUGCAGAUAUAUAUUAAAUGCUAAAUUUUAUUUGUUGAAAAUAAAUUCAGCUUUAGAUAUAUAUAAUUCAGAUAAUAAUAUAUAUAUUUAUAUUUAAUAUGAAUAUAUAAGUAACUUUUUUUCAAAGAAAGUGUUACCGAAAAGAAAAGAAAAAGUGUCCACUUUCGUGGCUUGGGCCGCUUGCGGCUUUUAAAAUGAGGCUCGACUCAAAUCCUUGGCUUGGUGUCCUUCGUUCGGUUCGGUAGUGGGUAAAAUUGGUAUGGUUCGGUUCGGUUCGGUUCUAAAGAGGCUGACCCGUGAGCUUCAGUUCGGUUCGGGAGAAAAAAAAGACCGAAACAAUCCAACUCGAGUCCUCUAAGACUUAGUUUGGUAUUUAAGUAUAUCUUAUGCUAUUAAAUAAAAGCAUAUAAAGAUAUGCUUCUGCGUUUUUCAAUAAAAUCGCAUAAAAUAUAUCAUAAUCGAUUCAUCGCGAUAUGCGAAAUACAAUAUUAUUUAUGAAAACAAACAUAAUAUUUUUUUAUCGUACUUUCUCACCGCACGUAACCAAUCUCUUGAUUCUCUUCUCCACCAUCAGAACCCAAACACUCAUCUUCAUCCUCUUCCCCUCGAUCGCCAUUAUCUCUCUCUCUCUCUCUCUCUCUCUUUCUCUCUCUCUCUCUCUCUAAUUAUCCUGGGUUUAGGGCUAGAUAUAAGCGAUUUGGUAGCUAAGCUACCUCUCCUGGAUCCAGGUAUGUAUGUAUGUAUGUGUUGCGUGCCGAAUGUCCUGACCCUUGACCCGGUCAAUAAUUCUCUUCGGAAAGAUCGUCGGGAUGCGAGACGGCUGCGAAUUAUGACUCUCGAAAUAUGCCCUCACAGAGGAUCAAGCGAUUAGGCCGAUGAGGGAUCAAGUCGGCCGGGUUCAAAAACCUCUGCAGUAAAUUCGCUUUGGCAGGAUGAGCCGAAUGGAGAGGAGAAGCCCAGAAUUCGAUUAAGAAACGAGCUAAAUGGCCAAACAACUUGUGAUCUGAUCGGCCGGAAGAGCCGAAGAUGACCUUCUAUUGAAUAGCAAAAAGGAGUGAUACCCGUAGGGCAGACAGACUCCGAGUAUGGGAACAGGGGAGUGAUGCCCGUAGGGCAAACAGAUUCCGAGUAUGGAAAAUUACAGGAACUACUCCUAAGGAAAGCAAUAAAUGCGAAAAUAGAAAGAUGCAGAAAAAUAAAGGUGGUUUUUUGUGCGCAGGGGCGAAGACCCUUUUUUUAGGGUGCUGCAUGCCUAUUUAUAAAGUUGCCCUUGCGUUUAGUUAUCGUCAAUACACGAUCGGCCACUAUCUCCUGAUUUGUAGGACCACCUUCGGCCGAUUGGAACUGCUCAUAACCGCUUGUAGUUGCUAUGUUUUUUGAACAGACGCGACUCAUAUUUUCUGGCGUGUUUUAUAUACUCCCGGUCCACCAUUUUGACAUGGGUCAUGGACGUAGUCCCGGCUUGCAGUAAAUACGAGAAUAGAAAGAUGGAGAAAAAUAAAGGUGGUCUUUUGUGCGCAGGGGCGAAGACCCUUUUUUUAGGGUGCUGUAUGCCUAUUUAUAAAGUUGCCCUUACGUUUAGUUAUCGUCAAUGCACGAUCGGCCACUAUCUCCUGAUUUGUAUGACCACCUUCGGCCGAUUGGAACUGCUCAUAACCGCUUGCGGUUGCUACGUUUUUUGAACAGACGCGGCUCAUAUCUUCUGGCACGUUUUAUAUACUCCCGGUCCACCUUUUUGACAUAGGUCAUGGACGUAGUCUCGGCUUGCCAGCUGUCCGCACCGAAUUGACCCAACAGUAUGUAUGUAUAUGCGUCGAUCCGAAGGAUUUUUACUUCUCGUUUGCGUCGGAUCAUGGCUACUUUGAUCCCUAUUUUUCACCGAUUUUUUCUUAAUUUAAUCAAUCGAAUCAUCGCUUAAUUUACCCGCAGUUCGAGUUCUCAUCACUCAGAAGCAAUUGUGCUUCCGAACGAAAAAGCCGUAAAUGAUAAUCUCGCUUUCGUUUAUGUGAUCUCUUGCAGUUGCAGGGUACGUAUAGUAAGUGGAAUCUAGUAGUUUCUACAAGCUUUUAUUUUACCUUUUUUAUAUUGAAACCUUUUUUAUUGUUUAAUUUGCAUGGCUUUCUUUUGCCAUCCUCAUACGAAUAUAUUUGUUGUAUUACCUUUUGAUUUUUUCAUGAAUUAUUUGAUUGUACGUAGUUAUAACUGUACUGUAAUUCUAAUUAUAUAUAAAUAUUUAAAUUUUAUAUUUAUUUUAAUAUAUUUGAAUUUAACUAUUAUAGUUGUAACUGCACGAAAUAUCUUGCAGUAAUCGAAACUACGUCUAAAUUGACCGUAGUUCAAACUACAGCACUCGAUACUAAUAAAUUUAAACAGAGUAAUGCAUCUUCUUAUUAGCCUUUUCCUUUUUCUUUUCUUUAUAAGGUAUAAUAUUAUCACCCUAUAUAUAAAAUAGUAAAAUUUAUAAAUACAAUUUUCAAUGGCAUGUAGUCAAACAAAGCUUGUAUUUUAGCUUAGAUUUCAUAAUUACGUGAAUACAGUGUUGGAAAUAGUCAAAUCUCUCGGAGCUAUUUCCCAUAAUUAUUAUACAUGACGAUCCUACUGCAUUGAUUUAUUAUACUUUCAAAAGAUUUAGAUAAUAAAAUUUGAUCUUAUGCGUUUGAGUGAGGUAAUCCAGAAGAGAUUAGAACGGAGGCAAUAAAUUAUAAGAUAAAGAUACUUCUGAAAAAAAAUAUUAUCAAACACCCUUUUUUAUAAGUAUGGAUAAUUUAAAGAAAAAACUUCAAAUACUAUUUCUAUAGUUUCACACUUUUUUAUUUUAAUACUAUAUGACUUAAAAUGUAUCAAUUUAAUACUCCGUGAUUUUAUUUUUCUCUUUUUAUUAUUCAAUCUACUAUUUUUUUUGUUAAAUUAGUGACAAAAUUAAAAUUAAAAAAUAUUAAAGUAAAUAUUCGAUAAAUUUAGGUAGAAGUAUCUGAAAUUUUUUUUGUAUAUAAUUUAACAAAAUGUUAAUGGAAUAACUGACGAAAAAAGAGAAAUAAAAUCAGAUGGUACUAAAUUGAUACACUUUAAACCACAAGGUACUAAAAUGAGAAAGUGUGAAAUCACAUAAGUGGUAUUUAAAAUUUAUCCUAAUUUAAAUAUUAUAAAUUAUAUUUAAUGAGUUAAGUUUUACUGAUUAAACGCUCAGUUAAAAAAAUUUGCAGUGUACUAAAAAGUCUAGAAUAAAGUAAUAAUAUUAUUGGCAUGGUAUUUUAACCAAUCAAAUUAUUUUUUAAUUUUAUUAUUUUAUUAUAAUUUUUAAAAAUAUAUUUUUAAUUAUCUUUUGAAAAAUAUAAAUAAUGAAUCGUACCUGCUAAUACUGUAAACUUAACUCGUGGUGACGUGGUGUACACGACGUCCAUCCCGUGGAGGCAAAUAUUAAUAAUCUAUCCUAGCAAUAGCGUAAAAGGUAUUAAAAAUUAGAAAAAUAUUGCGGUGGGACCCACAAGGUUUGACCGGUCAACACAAGGAACGCAAAACGACAAAACCUCGCGCUCUCCCCCCCUUCCUUUUCUCUCUCCCUCUCUCUCUCUCUCUCCUCUCCUCAUUCGUACUUUGACUCCCACCACACUCUCAGAGGAAGAGGAAAGCGAGGAAGAGGAGGAAAAAUCGAACCACCCUUUUCCCUUUCCCAUUCUCCCGAUCUGUGUACGAUUUUUCCACAACAUCUUCGAAGAGGAGGCCGCGGAGGAGGAACAGGAGGAGGAGGAGGAGAGGAGCCGUUGAUUACUUUUGCGUGGAGGUGAUUUGGGUUUGGGAUCGCCAAAUCGAUCGGUAAUACAUGUUUUUUUAUCACUUUUUUUUUUUUGAAUGAAUUGUUGUUGUGUUUUUAGUACUCUGAGGUGCUAAUGUGGUUGGAUCUGCGGCUAUAUUUGGGUUUAGGAAUUUAUGUUGCAUUUUGAGCCUUUUUUUUUUGGACAAUUAGGUGUUUUCGACGACAUUUCGGUGAUUUUGUAAAGGUUUUUGCUCUGAAGAUGGCAAACCUUUUCUUUUUCCCGGUGGAAGCUUAGGGUUUUCAAAUUUGUGUGGAAAAAGGUCCGAUUUUGCGGGCAAAUUUGUAAGAUCUUGUAGUAAUAAACUAUCUCAGAGCCAUCGACAGCGAAGCUAAUUACUUUUUUGUUUUGAAAAAAAAAUGUAUUGAUCUUACUUUUCCUUAUAUUCCUUUUGAUUUCAAAUGAGUGCAAAUUACUCUGUCGAAGUAGUCAAAAUAAAACUAAGCAUACUUAGAUCAAAGAUAUAGUAAGGGUUGGUGGUAAAGUAAAACUUUUCAGAGUAUAGGCAUCCAUCUUAAUAUGCGUUUUAGUGCAGGUAAGCUCCAUACAUUUUUUACCCUUUUCAAAGUUUCUCUUUUUUAAAGACUAUUUAGAGGGUUAGUUUCUUAGUUACUGUAAUCCAGCUGAAAACAGUCUAUUUGCUGGGUAACAGCAAGUAUAGUAGCUGUCCAUGAUAUUUUUCAUGUUUGCUGUGGAUAUUAAUAGUCAAACUGUACAAAAAAGUAGUUGGACUGGUAGAUGUGGAAAGUCACAAGCUGUUGAAUUUGAUGGUAUCUUGGUGGAUAAUAUGGAUUUGCAUUAAAGCCUUAGUAAUAUUGGGCCUCAUUUGUUAAUUGCUUACUUGAUUCUUAUUUGUUACUCAUUUUUGUAUAGGGUUCUUGUUUACGAUGUAUUUGAGAGCAAAGCUGCUUGUUUUAGGUGAAAGAACGAACCUUUGGCUGUUUUUUGACUCUUUUAUGUGUAUUUCAUGGUACAAUAUAGGACCCCUUUAGCUUAUGCUAUCGAUGCCAAGAUGUGGUUUAUUUUUAUUUUGCACCUAGGAUCAUUUGAUUAUGUAUCUUAUAAGUUAAUGAAUAGAUCUCUUGUUUUAUUUUUUUCUUAGAUGCUUUUUUCAUAUUUUGUUACACAGUGAGAACUGUGCUGCAACCAUUUUAUUCCUUCUCAUUUUUAUGUUUGAUAUCUUGCAGUUAAUUAACCGGGCUACUAAAGAAGACAUGCUUUUAUGACACAUUUACUUGGAUUCUUGGAUUAGAUUUUAUAAAGUAUGGCUACAGUUGGUGUUAAUGCUGAUAGAUUGCCUGAUGAGAUGAAUGAGAUGAAGAUUAAGGAUGAUAAGGUAAAUGAUGUGACAUCUUAUUAUGUAGUUGGGCUUUGUGGUUUUCUUGGCAGUUGUUUAAAAAUUGGUAUUACUUUGUCAUACACUUUGUAACAUGUGACAACAUUAUCUCCAUGAAUUACUGUAGGAAGUUGAAGCAACGGUGGUUAAUGGGAAUGGGACAGAAACUGGUCAUAUAAUCGUGACAACUAUAGGCGGUAGAAAUGGCCAGCCAAAGCAGGUAAAGACAAAACCUAGAAAUACCGGCAAUCUUUCUAGUACGAUUUUACUUGGAGUUUAAUAUCAUACAUAACUAAGCUUCAUAGAAACCACAUUUGGCUACCCUGGGGGAAGACUUGCUCAGUGUCAUUUACCACCUUGCCAAUAGAUCAAUGGGUUGAAAAAAAUCAAAUACUUAUAGGGGGUUUUCUACAAUUAAGCUGUCAUCUUUUUAUCAUGAGAAGCAGAAGGCCAGGCAUAUGAUCUGAUUGAUUAAGUGAUAUGUCUAUCUGAAGGUAACCAAUUUAGCCUGCUAAAUUGGUGCUCACUGUUAAGAUGUUUCCUGUGCUAGUUGAUUCACUAUAAAUCUUUCGGAAGUGCUCUUUUAAUAACAUCAUCUAUCUUAAUUGCAGACUAUAAGCUACAUGGCUGAGCGAGCUGUAGGGCAUGGAUCAUUUGGAAUUGUUUUCCAGGUUAGUUUGUAGUGAUGGCAUUACAUAAUGUUUGUUGAGUUCCACUGCUUCCACAAGUUUACCUACAUGUUACAUACCAAUGUAUAGGGUCUGAAUAGGUCAACUUGGUUCAGUUUUAGGUGGUUUUCAGAAACCCAACUGCACCAAAGUAAAUUGCUUUGGAUUGGUUGGUUUAUUAGUUUGGAUAUGAGACUACAUUUUUGCGCUAUUGUGUUAGAGUGAUUACUCAUGUAAGGUGGGAUCAGUGUUUGAAAAGGCGCGCCUAAGGCGUGGGCCUCAGCAAUAGCGAGGCGAGGCGAGGCGAGGCGCGGUGCUAUUGUCGAGGCGCGCGCCUCAGGGCCGAGGCGCGAGGCGCACAUAAGGCGCGCGCCUCGCAAUAUUUAAUGUUAUUGGGUUUUGGAUUAAUGUUAUUGGGUUGUUGGGUUUCGGAUAUAAAUGUUAUGUUUUAACGCGAUAAGAUUAUUAAAAGAUCCUAAAAGCAACCUAAAAAAACCCUAAUGAAAUCCAUCUACCGCCUUCUUUCCUUCUACCGCCCUCUCCUCUCCUUCGUAUGUACUCCUAUCCCUUCUCUGUCCGUGGGCUUCCAGCAAGCAUCCUCAGCCAUCCUGGCAGCAGGAACAAGCAAGGAGGAGCAGCACGAAAAGGAUGAGGAUGAGGACGAGGAUGAUACUUGAAGAAUGAUCAAAUGAAAACAUUGGCACCACAAUCACUUCUAAGUUUUAAGUUGAAAGUUGAAAUAUAUUUCUUUUAACUUGAGAAUCUAUAUGCAUGUGUAGUUAUUUUAUUUUUGUAUGGUUAUUUUAGAGUUUUUUUAAUGUAGAACAUCAAAUUAAAUUAGUCUUAGUAAAUGUGCGCCUCGUAUUCUUGCCUCGUGCCUAGGCUCCAGGAGAGUCUUGCGCCUUUUUGCGCUUCGCGUCUUUUCAAACACUGGGUGGGAUAUAAUGUAUGAUUAUCUUAUUUGUCAGAGCUUUUAUCUGAUGGUUGUUGUUGUGGUUAAGUAUUGCAACUCUUUGAUCACUGUUUAAUGGCUAACCUGUAUCAAACUAUUGUAAAUUUUGGUUAAUCUGGUUUAUUUUGUUAGUUUGCAAACAAAGGUCAACAAAAUACUGGUAAAACCGAAUCAUAUCUACUGAAACAACUGAUUUCACUCUGGCAACUUAGUUUGGACUGCUGUGUAGCGCAUUCCUCUGCCGAUGAACUUAUUUAUUUUUUCGUUUGUACUUUACUAUUCUAUGUCAUGUAGGCAAAGUGUCUGGAGACAGGUGAGACUGUGGCCAUUAAGAAGGUUCUUCAGGACAAGAGGUACAAGAACCGCGAGCUGCAGACCAUGCGCCUACUUGACCACCCGAAUGUUGUCUGUUUAAAGCAUUGCUUUUUCUCGACAACUGAGAAGGAUGAGCUCUACUUGAACUUGGUUCUUGAGUAUGUGCCCGAGACCGUUCAUCGGGUCAUAAAGCACUACAAUAAAAUGAACCAACGGAUGCCACUUAUAUAUGUGAAACUUUAUAUGUAUCAGGUAAGAAUUACCUUUCUGUAAACAGAUAGAGGCCCUGUAUGGAAACCUUUUGGUUUUUUUUUGCUUUUGUUGUGUUGUCUUUCGGUUAGAGUUUAUCAGGUAAAUAUAUUACAGUUUAUAUUUUUUAUAGUCUAUGUAUGAUUCACAUAUUGGUGUGAGAUCUCAAUAAUGACUAUUGCUAGUUGGAUUUUUACAGUAGGAGCUAUUAGAUGCAUAAAGCAUUGUGAGAACGAAUAAGUGAUACUUGUUAUGUUGCAUCUAUGAAUAAUUCUACCGUCAUAAAGCAGUCAUCAUUUUUAUUAAUCUACUUGUCUUGAAGCAUAUUACAGCUAAUGAAAUAUUGUACUUUUACAGAUCUGUAGAGCACUGGCAUAUAUUCACAAUAGCAUUGGAGUUUGCCACAGGGACAUUAAGCCACAAAAUCUUUUGGUAUGCACGUGUACUGUUAUCAUACUUUCCUGCAAAUUAGUUUUGGUUAGACUUGUCUGUCUAGUGGGAACUAUAUGGCUCUUUUGUCUUCUUACAUGAUUUUUCAAAUUGAAAAUGCUGAGUAUCUUUCUUUACGUAAGUUAUACUAUUAUAUUAUAACCAGGUAAGUGGACUUUCUACUUUUUCUGUAAUAGGUUAAUCCACAUACUCACCAGCUGAAACUCUGCGAUUUCGGUAGUGCAAAAGUCUUGGUAUGUAAAAUUAUGAUGCAACCUAUCAUUAUUUUUACAACACAUACUAGAACUUUGUUUUAACUUUCUAAUUCUCACAGGUUAAAGGGGAACCAAAUAUAUCAUAUAUCUGUUCUAGAUACUAUAGGGCUCCAGAGCUCAUAUUUGGUGCUACUGAGUACACUACAGCAAUCGAUAUCUGGUCUGCUGGUUGUGUUCUUGCCGAACUCUUGUUAGGACAGGUAAAUACUUUUCUUUGAGAUAUUUGCAUACAUGCCCCUGCAUAACUAUCCAUUUAUAUUUUAUAUAUCUGAGAAAUCUAAAAUUUUCAUAUUUAUUCCUCAAUAGUGCAAUUUCUUACAAAAAUGGACGCAAAUUGAGAGUCAACCAGUUCUUGGUGGCAUUUAGCUUUGUAUUGGAAAAAAUUUGUAAAGAGGGGCAUGUUAAAGUAUAAGGGUAUAUGUGUAAGAGACUAGUUUCGAAGGGCACAUGUGAAAAUUGUAGCUUUGCAGAGAUAUAUGUGUAAAAAAGAAACAUAUGCAGGGGGUAUAUAUUUAAAAUACUUAUUUUCAAAAUCUUGUUAUUUGAGUUGUGAAGAAAAACAAUGGCAAAAAAAAAAAGAAAAAAAAAAUCUGCCCUUUAACUAUUGAUCUGUUCUUUAACAGCCUCUCUUUCCUGGUGAGAGUGGAGUCGACCAGCUUGUUGAAAUUAUUAAGGUAAUGGAACCGUUGACUUGAUGCUUAAUUAGUUGUUCGUAGCUGUUCUUAUGGCAAUAAAACACCUGUUUUUUGACACCUUUUCUCACUUCUCCUGCAGGUUUUAGGUACCCCGACAAGAGAAGAAAUUAAAUGCAUGAAUCCAAAUUACAAUGAAUUUAGAUUUCCACAAAUCAAAGCCCAUCCAUGGCACAAGGUUGGAAUAUUAUCAACACCUAUUCUUACCAAUGUGAUACUUUUUUAAGGUUUUUCCUUAUUUUAGGCUGUUCCUGAUCAUGCCACUUUCUUACCAGAUAUUCCCUAAACGAAUGCCACCUGAAGCUUUAGAUCUCGUCUCUCGGCUUCUCCAGUACUCGCCAAACCUUCGAUGCACUGCUGUGAGUAGUUUAAAUUGACACACCGCUCUAAGUAUAGAAGUGAAAAUUUCCGAUGUGCCUAUGCAUUCUCCUGGUAAAGCUUAAUUUUGAUUACUCAUGCCUUUGAAAAUUUCUUCUUUUGUCCAGUUGGAAGCAUUAAUUCAUCCUUUCUUCGAUGAGCUUCGUGAUCCAAGUACCCGCCUACCGAAUGGCCGUUUUCUGCCCCCUCUUUUUAACUUCAAACCUCACGGUAAGUCUUAAUGGAAGGUUAUUGUGAUGCGUGCCCUAUGGAUGGUUGAUGCGAGAAUCAUGACCCACCAAUAGAUAAGAAAUAAUCCACCUCGUUAAACUAGGGCACUCGGGAGAGAAACGAUUAACCUGAAAACAGUUGCUUUGCUAGUUAUUAAUGUGUCUUUUUUUGUUUUUUGCGCUUAAAUAUAAUCAACUGAUAUUAAUUUGCUCUUUUCUACAUUGGCAAAACAGAGUUAAAGGGAGUUCCAGCGGAGACUCUCAUGAAGUUGAUUCCAGAGCACGCGAGAAAGCAAUGCGCCUUUUUAGGUUUAUAAGACGGGCUGCUUGAGAAUUUUAGCUUAUAUUAUCCGUUCUUGUUGCGAGACUGCUCUAUGAAGGGAAAAUGGCGUUUCUGGUGCACACGUGGUUUAAACGGAACCUUUGAAGCUGUGACAGUCCUCGAAUCUCAUCUGCUCAUGUAUGAGGAAUGUGUAACACUGUAAUUGUGUAGUAGAUUCUUAUUUAUCGGAUCCAAAUGCUACUUCCAGUUUCUGAUACCCUAUUAAGAGUUUCUUGUCAUUUUGCGUGUUGGAAUCCAUGCAGCAUGCGUUGGUCAAUCUAUCAUUAUUAUUUGCUAUGAGCUGGUGCAGAGUGUGUGGUGCGUUCGUGUCAAAAUGUUUGUAUUCUGAGAAUUCUCUAAAGUUGUAAGAUGAUGGGCCCAUUUGGUUCAGAAUCGAUUCGCGACAUUCGUUGAUCCUUUUAUAGUUUCAAUUUGAAUCGGUGAUCGUGCCGCUGCAAACCUGGGGGGAGGUUAUUUUCAAUUUGAAUUGGCGGUAUUGCAGCUGCUGCACAACUCAGGGGAGUAAAUUGCAGGAUUUCAAAGGGUUUAUUUAGUAAAAUUUUUCUAAAUAUUUCAACCUUGUCUCUGGAGAGUAGAAUUCUACAUAACUUAAAAAUUUAUGGCGACUGAAUCGUGAUUCGGGAAAUAUUGAGGGUCUAAACUGCAAUCUUGCAAUGAACCAACAUACCUGGCUAUAAAAGAAGGGGGAAAGGGAGGUGGCGGAGGGGGAGGGAUAAUAACUGAGUAAGGAUGCCACUGGGGAAGUACUACUGCGACUACUGCGAGAAGCAGUUCCAGGACACGCCCUCCGCCCGGAAGCGCCACCUCCAGGGCGCCACCCACCUCCGCGCCCGCGCCCUCUGGUUCGACUCCCUCAAAGGUACCGGAAAAAAAAAUUAAAAAAAAAAGAAACAACUGUUCUACUUUUCUCUCGCCCACGCAUUUCCACAAACACCUGGUGCUCAAAAUCCUCCUCCUCCUACUACUAUAAUCUUGUUGUAUCCUUUUGGAUCAGUCGCGGAGACGACGCACGGGAGCGCCUCUCUUCCGCUUCUCCGUCGUCCUCCCGAUGGGACCUUCGCUGCUGCUGCUGCUGCUGCUCAAGGGGUCUGCCGCCACUUCGUGCGCACAGUAAGUUCGGAGCGCCUCUCUCUUCUCAAGAAUUUGGAGAGGUUUCUCUUACUUACUGCUUCGUUUUGUGUUUGUAGGGGGUUUGUAGAUACGGAGACUCGUGCAAAUAUUAUCAUCCGAAGCCGGAAUUUGUGAACCAAGCCGCAGCCGCAGCCGCAGCCGCAGCCACAGCCGCGUCAGGUGAAUUGAGUUUUGAUGCAAUUUUUUUUUCAGUAGGGAAUUCAAUUAUUUGUGUCUUGCUAUUACCUACUAAAUGUGACGUAUGAACAGUUUCCUACUAGAUUGACAUUUUUGUUAACAUGUUCUCUUAUCUCUUCUAUAAGCGAAAUGUUAUAAAUGAGUAGCCACUCCUUAUUGUAUGAUACAAAAUGAGUAGUAAGUUUAGGCGUGGUUCGGUGGAGUAUAUACGAGAAAAUUGUGCGAGAACCUAUGAUACCUGGAAAGUUUCGUAGAUUAUAAAUAUUUUGUGGCAGUUUUGUUUAUCCCAGAUCCUACUUGGUUUUGCUUCGACGGUGGCUCAAGUAGAAUUUUAGAGUUCCAUGUCUAUAGAAACGAAUACGCAAAAUGUCUAAUUAUCGCAUUUGGAGACCCCUCCAUUACAUGCCCUAGUAUGACUCAGAAAGGAUGCUCAGAUUUUACACGCUAAGUAUGGAGAAAUCUCGCGUCUCAAAUUGUAUGGCUCUUUUUUUUUUUUUUUACCUUUUUCUUUACGAGGAACUGCUGUACUCUGUGCAGCAGGGCUUGGCGUUGCCGAGGGAGUGCAGGCACCCAAUUUUUUCGGUAAUCCACUGACCGGAGGCAGCUCUUUUUCGGGUAAUAUAGCAUUCAAUUGUUACUUUUGUUCAGCAACAUGAUGUGGGUUGCACAUGCUGCUUAUACAAUAGGAUUCGACACUUUGAUUCCUUGGAUGAUCUUUAUGUUGAUAUAUCUUGCUCUUGGUAUUCAAGAUAAUUUGCUCAUUCACUUAAAUAGAUUCAACUGCAAAAUGAGUCAUCUUGAAACCACUGCAAUGAUGGGUUGUUAGUUUUCGAACCAUUAGUGAAGCCAAAUUUCCCACCAACCGGUUUUCAAUAAGAAAUGCUUUUCGCCGACCAUAUUAUACUUAUUCAUAGAAUGAUCACUUGAAUUUGAUAGCGGCGGUUGUUUAGCACCUCUCUCUCUCUACAGUACAUUACUGAGUAACUAUGGUAGACUUAAUUGUCAGAUCAGUUUUAACCGUGUUAGUAACAUUUUGCGACUGAUAUAUCGCAGGAGAAAUGGCAAGGGAUAAAAUGGCAUUGUGGGGCCACUUACCUCCAUCACUCCAACCUCCUCCGGAUGGAGGUUAUCCACCCCUUCCAUUUGUCGACUGGGGUUAGAUAUUUGUGUGAACAUGUGUUAGAUCACUUAUCACGUUUACUGGUAGAAUGAUGUGAACAUAUUCCGAUUUGGUUUAUGUAAUGGAAGUUUAUGAAAGAAACAUUUACGUUAUAAGAUUCAAUCAAGUUGAAAAUGCAACUGCAAUACUAAUUGAAAGAAUAUCUGAGUUAACAUUAUAAUCAGAUUCCAUUUGUUCUAUGGGGAAGUUAGAAUGAUUGAGAAAUGGAGCAGGGACUGCUGCAAUGUAUCUCCUUGUCCUUCCAAUGGGGGAGUGCUGCUAUCUUCGGCAGCUCGAGUUCAACCAUUUCAAAUGCUGGAAGCAAAAUGACAAUUCCUUCGAACUAAAAGCCUGGGGCUUCUAGCCAGGACAGAAAGCCAAACGAGAAAGCACAAGCUGAAAUUCAAACAAUUUUCAGCUAAUAAGAGAUCGGAGGCCAACAUCCUAUCCCAAUGAUUGCAGACAACUAGAGCAAAUCUAUUUCAUAAAAUUUUACGGAAUCCAAAAGACAAGUCAUAAGAAGAGACUAAACUCAAACAAGGUACUCUGAACUCUUAAGGACCCAGAAUUAAAAACUUCUGAUGUUCAAAACAGCUACAUACUUCAAAUAGAUUAAACUCUUAAAAAAUGUCUUAAUUAUAAGCCAAAAAAAAAAAAAAAAACAUUUCGCAGACGGCUUCGACCUGUUUGCUUAGAUGAUACCGAUCUUGUUCGCAACAUCAAGAGCAUCGUGAUCCGGCAUCAAUCUCACAUACGCCUUCUUCGUUCCAUCAGGCCUGCAUUGUGUUAAAAAAUACGGCUUUUAAGUUCUGAGAUAGCGGUAUUUAAAUGCUGAGUGGUAACAUCCAAUUCUUGUAAGUUCAAGCAACCAUUUUAAGAUGCGCUACAACACGAGUAAGGUCUAUAUGCUUUUUUUACAUGCUUUUUUUACCUGAGAAAACGAGUACACAAAACUCACCUUAUGAGGGUGUUGACUUUCUUCGCCUGGAUGUCAUACAUCUUCUUAACAGCCGCCUUGAUCUUCUUCUUGUCAGCCUUGAUAUCCACAAUGAAGACAAGCGUGUUAUGGUCUUCGAUCUUCUUCAUGGCAGAUUCAGUGGUGAGGGGGAAUUUGAGGAUCUGAUAGUGGUCCAACUUGUUCCUAGGUGUGACACUGAUUCUAGGGUACUUGGGGUCCCUCGCUUUCUUCUGUGUCUUAGGCCGGUGGAAGGUCACCUUAGUACGGAUCUUCUUGGCCUUCCUCUUCAGUGUCGCCGGCCCGGCCUUCACAGCCUUCGCGACCUUCUGGGCCUGGGAUUUGGCAUCAGCUUUCUUCGCAGGAGCUGGUUUAGAAUAAUUAGAAGGUAUUAUCCAUGAGAGGCAUAGGGUUAAAGAAAACAAUGGAUAGACCCGAUAUUGUAACUUGGUCUUUGAACUUUUCAACACAGACACUUGGUUUCCUUAACUUUAUUAUAUACCGCAAUAUCUGACCAAAAAAAUGUAACUUUUCUUGUGAAAUUACCACUUUAUCCAUUCCAUGUUUUGAUACACAUAAAGCAAGGUUAAAAAUCAUAUCAACACAGACUACCCGUAUAACUAUGCAUCUCCCAUUUCAAACCCUCCAAGAAUAGAUUUGAAAAAACAUAUUAACACAUCUUAUAGAAGAGCAAGGAUUGUCGAAAAACCUAGUAAGUCCAGCUUCCAAGGGCAUUUUCCAACAUUACAGACAGCAACAAAUUCUAACAAAUGAAAAUUAAGCACCUAGACCUUUGACUCUAUUGACUUGUUCAAGCUACAUACAUUACGGUAAGUAAUAUUUUGGAGUCAACAGAAGGCCAAAACAGCCUGUAAUGCUUUAUAAACAGAUAAUAGUUUGCACAACAUGUAUACUGCAAAUUGUCUCACAGCUAAAGAUGCAACCGGUAAAACACACAAUGCGGACACGAACCAAUAACGAAGAACAAACUACAUAAGUAAACUUAAAAACUAAAAGAUGCGAAAAUAUAUCAAAUUAUCAAUAUGAACGAUCCCUGGAGCAAUAAAGUAAUAUAAUCUCAACGAAGCAACACACCUUUCGAUGGAGGAGCCAUCUAAUUGCUCAGAAAAGCUUCAGUAAGUGAAUAAGCUGCAAAAUUAACAAAUUAAUGUCAGAGAAGUUGGAGAACUUAUUAGCUAUUCAAUGUACUGUAUAGCAUCUCACCAGAGCAUGAAGAAACUUGAUAUGAUUACAAUUUUUCAUAUACAAUGCGGCAAUGUGGCAAAAAUUGAUAUUCCAUUCACCACUCGAGACAUAAUGUCAACAAAUCAUGAGUAGAAGUAAAUAAGCUACCAAACUAUAAAGUGCAACAACUCUUACGUAAAAACUCGACUGCAUAACUAUUCUUCCAAUCCUAAUCACCUUUAAUUUUAUACCUAGAUAUUAAAUAACCUAUCUCCUCAAGGCAAUAAAAUUUUCCAAUUAUUAAAAGGGUGGUUUCAUGAACAAGAGGAAACGUAUAAAUGGCUUGUAAAAUGGCGCUGCAAAGCUUGGAGAACAUCUGAGGGAAGUUUUUUUUUUUUCAUGAACUAACGAUGAAUUAAACAACGACACAAAAUAACUUGUAAUGAUCCUAAAACCCCUUUUCGAUCUACUUUCCGUCAGAAUCUCACCGUUUUAGACUCUCUCCUACACUCAAAUCUCUAGCAACGUAACAAUGUCGAAUCAUUUCUCAAAACAAAGUAAAAUUACCAUACUCAAACUUUGAAUCCACGCUCAAAAUCCCAUCUUCAUACGAAAUUUUUUUUUUAAAAAAAAAAACAGAUUUUUGGCAUCAAAAUCACAUCGCUAUAAAAAAUAAUCAGCAUAUAAUAGCAAAGAACAAAACUUACAAAUCGAAGGUGGAACAGAAUCCAACAAAUCAGAUCCAAUUGAAGCAACGAGAGAUUUAUACUUAAAAAAAACAAAGAAUUUAAUCUAAGGUUUCGAGAGUAGUAAACGAGAAGCGAGAUAAGCUCACCUCGAAUCCUCUCUUCUAAACCCUAGCGCGCCGCGGCCAACACGAGCGAAGAAACCCUAGAAGGCGAGGGAAAUAAGCGCCGUGAUCAGAGGAUUAUAUAUAGUAUUCCUUGGAAUGAUCAGGACCGUCGAUUUUGUUUCAACGGGUAUUUCGAACGGUUCGAUUGUCAAAUAGAUUGGGCUUGUUGUUAUAGCUUAUUAUGGGCCUUACGACCUUGUUGGGUCGGGUCGGGCCCAUUAAAACCCGCUUAGGCUUAGGCUUAGAUAACACUAAAACCCAUAUUAAAAUUUAGGAACUUUUGCUUAUAUACCCUUCAUCCUAUUCAAAAAUUUCAAAUUUACCCCCUCAUUCUCAAAACAUCCUUCUAAAUUUCAAAUUACAUUACUAAACUCUAGUAAGAGUGAGAAAUAUAUUUUUGCAAAUCAAUUUAGAGCAUUUUGGUCCACAAAUAAAUAUAUUAGAUAUUUUUUAAGUUUAUUAGAUAUUAUCCAUAAAAUUUAAAAAUUGGAGGCUCUCGGCCACUUCAUGUUAUUAAUUUUUAGUAUAUUUAUUUAAACAUUGUUAAAUUUAGAUCGAGUCUUUAUAUUUAUUUUUUAAUGCAUUCUUUAUUUGAGAGUGAAAUUUUGGUAAGAAAAUAUCAAGCAAAACUUCAAAUUGCCCCUCUGUGAUUUAGCUCAUUUUUACUUUGCUAUUAUGUGGUUCAAUACUUGUGCUUUUCCCUUUUCUGGUUUAGCGUGUUUUUAUUUUACCGCCCAAUGAAUUUCUAAAAAAACUUUAUUUUGUCAUCUUAUUUGACAUAUAAUUUUUUAGUGAAUUAAAAAUUAAACCAAAGGAGAGCAAAAUAUAAAAUUUUGAGCUACCCAGGGACCCAAAAAAAAUAUAGAGAAAUGCUAAGUCUACAACCUUUUGGGGUUGUAAUCUUUACAAUCCCCAAUCUUAUGGCCAAAAGAGUUUACCAAACUUUUUUAAUUUUUAGUCAAAAAAAAAAAAAAAAAUUGAAAGUUCUAAUAACUAGGCCCUUAGAUGGGCCGAGUUCGAAGAUUACAAAAAGGUGCACCCAUCGUACUUAGGAACUCAGUCAAAGAGCUCACAGACUUCGACCUGACUCAACUCACCUGGAUAUUAGGUAUAUUAUUGGGUCUCCUGCUGUUAGAUUUAUUAUAAAUCGUAGUUCGACUCAAUUUACUCGGCUUAAUCCAACUCAACUUAUUAGUUCCAUCAGUCAAUUGGUACGGGACAGAAAGUUCCACCAAUUUUAGCGAAUAAUAAACAACCAACAAAAUAUAUAUAGAUAAUUUAUUUGAAGUAUAACCUAUUAGACUCUGACUAUCCACUCAUCAAGGAUUCGAUGGUUGGUACUUGAAAUCCUAAGUUCGAAACUUAAUUGUUUUACAUUUUUAUAUUAGUUUAUUUAUAAAAAAAUGAACUACAUGAGUAUAAAAUAAUGAGUCUAAAUUUUGUACUAAAGAACAAUUAUGUUUAUAUACAUUUCUACCUAAAAUUUACUAGUUGAUUAUUUAAACAAGUCCUAGAUAUUUGAACUAUUCUAUUGCCAAAAAUUUGAAUUUGAACAACUCCUUUGUGCCCUACAUAUAUAAAAAAAAAAUCUAUUAAAUAUCAAUAAAUUAUGUUUACUAUGCCCUUUUGCAGUUGGAAAUGUUGCAGUUUUUUUUCUCUUGCGGCUUAACUCAUUUUUACUUUGUCAUCUGUGGUUUUUUAGUAAUAUUUAACUAUUCUGUGAUUUAGCGUAUUUUUCACUUUGUCGCUUCGUGAUUUUCUAAAAAAUUUUCACUUUGUCAUUCUAUUUUGGCAUAAAUUUUUUUGAUAAAAUAAAAAUUAAACCACAUACCACGUUUUGAACUCCGGAAUAACAAAGUAAAAAAAUGCGCUGUACCACGAGAGGUCAAUUUGAAAUUCACCCUAAAUUAUGUUAUGAUAAAACGUUUUUAUUAUCCGUAAAUCAGGGAUUAUUUGAAUUAGUUAAUCCACAAAAAAAAUCUGAAAGCGAUAUGGAUAUGAUUGCCAGCAAAUUUAGCAAUACUACAAGCAAACACUUUCUUUCCCCUAAAAAAAAGAAAAAAAAAAAAGAAAGAAAAAAGAGAGUUGGUAAAAGAACAAUUAAACCAUGGUGGGGUUCAAUCUUAAAUUAGAAAUCAAAUAUAAUACGUCUAGUUCGAGCAUUAAUUAAUUAGAAAAAUAGAAGCAAUAAUGUCGCAAAAACCAGCUAAAAAACAGUGAUUGAAAGGUAUAACAAAUAAAUGCUUGUUAUCGAUAAUUAUAUAUAUGUAUGUUGCGUAUCCAAGUGUACAUGUUCUUCGCAUGCAAACAUUUCAAAUGUGAUAAAAAUUCUUAAUUAUAGAGCACAUUUUGAUGUCAUGUUGCAGUAUAUAUUGAUAUACUUUUGUUGUUCUAUAUAUAUAUAUAUAUAUAUAUAUAUUAAAAAAAAACAUUGUUUAUAUUUUAUAAAUAAAUAUUCAGAUGAUUUUUUCGAUUCUCUGAAUUAAUUUGCUAAAUUACUGUUGUAAUAUUGGAAUUCACCAAAUAUAUAUAUUUUGUUAUACAAUUACUUUACUAUAAAAUUACAUGAUAUAUAUUAAAAAACAAGCUCUUAGAGAAAAUAUCAAUUUCUUUUAAAGAUUAAGUAGUAGAACUAUAUAUGGUCUUAACGAAUCCUUGAAAAAUAUAUAUAUAUAUAUUUAUGAAAAAUAUUUCUUUUUACAGUUUUCGUUUAUUGAAUUAACAAAAUGAAAAACUAAAAAAAAAAAACUAUUUUUUUCAUAAAAUCUUAUCGAGGAAAACUACUUUUUUUACUAACCAAAUAAAUGAAAAAUGAUUUUCUAGUCAGAAAAUUAUUUUCUAACAUAUUUUUCGCGAAGCCAAAUGCCUCAGUAAUUUUCUUACAAAUAAGCAUUACUAAUUAACACAAUAGUAGUUAAUUUUGGGAUUUUGAGUAACUUAUGCUAUAAUUAAUGGUUAGUUCAACAACACCUCAUCGUUUCUAUUUGUUCAUGUUAAAAUACAGAAAACUUCGAUAUAAGCAUCUAUUUUUUUUAUUUUUUUGUUUGACUUUUCAAUAUUUAUAUUUUACUUUCUCAAAAUUUUAAAUUGAUGCAUUUAGCCUCCUUUAUUAGGUUUCUGUCACUAUUACUCUCAUUUAUUAUAAUUUAUACUAAAAAUAUUCUUAAAACUGAGUAAAAUAUAUUAAAACAUUUUUUAUAGGCGAGCACGGAUAAUUUAGCCAUUUGGCUCCUUUCAUUAACACCAUAACUUUCUGAAAAUAUUUUUAAAAUUCUAACAGAGUAAAAUAUAAAUUUUUAAAAAUGAGAGGAAAAAAAAGAAAAAAAAGUGAAUAUUUACUGAAUGAUUUUCUAUAUUUUAUCUUUUUUUUUUUUUUUUUUGGGUCCUUAAUUUCAAACCCUACUCCGACAAUGGUCUUAUCCUUUAUUGCUAUGCUUACUUGGAUCCAAAUAAUAAGAAACAAUAAUUGGUAGCGUACACCACUACUUCAAGAAAAAAAAAAAAAAGAAAAAAAGAAAAAAAAAUGAUUGAAGAGCAUUAAAGGCAUUGUUAGCUUACAAUUAUUGUUAACUCUUUCCAUAUAUGCAUUGCGUAAUAUUUGGAUAUAUAUUUAAAUAUGCAAUGAUUAUGGAUGUACAAAAAACGAAAAAAAAAAAAAGCAUUUAUGCACAAACAUUCGAUCCUGUAUUAAAAUCCAAAAUAAAUGUUAUAAGUUAUUUUUGCAGUACAUAAUAUGUUUAAUUAAUUUGAUUCUUUUUGUUACGUUGAUAUUAAGGGAUUGAUCACGCAUGUUUCUAUCUAAUCGUCCAUUAAUUAUAUAGAAAAUAUUUUAAUUAACUCUUUAUUUUGAUUGAUUUUAAACAACAAAACAACGUAGAUUAAUAAAAUUAAGAAACCUCGAGAUAUUUUUGUUUCGUACAAACAAGGUAUUACUUUAAUAUAUGGGCAUAGUUUGAUCUUAGGAUCUAUUUUCUCUUGCCUCUAAUUUUAUUUUUAGCUUAAAACGUAUGAAAUUGUUGUUAUUUUAAAUUGAGCAAUUAAUUCUGUGCAAAUUUAGACUCUGAUAUUUUUUUUGAUAGAUUCAAGUUAUAAGAGAAAUUAAAUUAAAAAGGUUUAAAGAUGCGAAAUAAUUAUUGUUCCUUAAAUACUUAAGCCAGCAAAAAAUAUAUAAUGCUUUUGUGAAAUAUAUUAUGCAAAGUGUAUAAUGAAAGUAAAAUUGUGUUUGUUUGUCAAAAUCUAAAAGGUAUAAUUGAGCAAUUGAGCUAGAAACUUAAACAAGCAUAGCGAAUUCGAUAUCGAGUGACGUCGCUCGAUCUGUUUAUAGUUACUAUCUAAUGAUUAUUUUUAAUAGAAUUGUUAGCUUCUAAAAUUAUAGUUUUGUCGACAAUACAAUAGUAUAGAAAUUAACGAGAAAAUGAUAGUUCAGUAAUAUUCUUUUAAAAAAAUAUAUAGUAUAAAAUAGCAACCAAAAGUAUAUCUAAAAGAUAUAAUAUAUAGAGAAUGAUUAAAAAGAUUAAUUCAAUAAUACUUUUUGAAGGAAAAAAAAGAGGGUACAAAAGUAGGAUAUAUAUAGUGCACGCAUUUGGGUGUAAUUAAUUAAGCCAAAUGAAAAAAAAAAAAGGUGUGGUGGACAGCUGACGUGGUACACCUGGUGCACGUAAUUUUCCGAUAUUGGCCCUCUCCUCAAACCCCUCCGAAGCUUUUGUCCUCAUGCGUGACCAAGUGGUGGUGCAAGCAACCGCGCUUCCCCCUCAAAGCGGUUUCACUGCUUUUUCUCCACAUCACACACCUCCACAUAAAGUAUGUGAGGGUGACUCAUCCCUCUCUCUCUCUCUCUCUCUCUCUCUCUCUCUCUCUCUCUCUCUACAUCUCUCUACAUCUCUCUCUCUACACGCAUAGAGAUAGAGAGAGAGAGGGAGAUAGGGAGAGAGAGAGAGAGAGAGAGAGAAGAGUCCAAAACUUAACAGAAGAAAAGCUCACAACAGAAGCAAUAUAGCUAGCUAGAUAGAGAGGCUUCUUUUAACAUUGCAAAGAAAACACCGACCGUCCCUAGAGUAAGUGGCAAAGUGCUUGAUGGUUGGUACUCGAGAUUCAAAUUUGAAUCCUAGUUGUUGAUUCACAUUUCUAGCUAAGUUUAUUAUUAAAUGAAAUAAACGAAGCGGCCGGGUAGCGUGCUACCUAUCUCUCAAAAAAAAAAAAAAAACAUUGCAAAGAAAACAAAUUCAAGCACCCAUAAUAGAUAAAUAUUAGAGUCAGACUACUGUAUUAUUAAUAGUACAAAGUUAUGGUGUUAAUUACUAAUAAUUUUUCGACCUUUGGAUGAAAGGAUGUACAGUUAGAAUAAUAUAGUCUUCGGUGGAAAACCAUGCAGCACCAAACACUUGGUGCUUUUGAUAGCAUACCGCUGGCCGGACUUUGAAGUCGGUCACCAUUAUAGAACUACUUUAAUCCCAGCACGCUUAAUUCUCUUAAUUUUUUUGAUCUAACCGUCAUCCAAAUGCUAUAGUCGGAUUAAAAGGUUUAAGUCAUAUUAUACCUUGUGUAUAGAAUUAUUCUUGGAUUUCAUAGUUUACAUACUAUCAUAUAUAACAAAAGGUCUUAAAUUUAAAUCCGGGCCCCAAUUAAGUCUCAUUGUUUCGCGUAAUCUUCUUUCCAUCCUGAGCCACUUAUUAAAAGUUUCGAAUCCAAAUGUGAACUAAGUUAUCUAUCUUCGAAUUAAUAACAUGAUAUUAGAUGAAUCAAAAUUCUUUUUUCUUUUUUUUUUCUUUGGGGGGUUGCACUUCUACCAUGCUUUCUGUUACUCUAUCACCUUUGCGCAAAUCAUUGCAGAACGUCAUAUUGCUUUAAUCUCUCUCUCUCUCUCUCUCUCUCUCUCUUCACGAGUAUAUAUAUACCCACACACAUCCUCUCCUCUCCUGCAUAUAUAUAUAUAUAUAUAUGUAUAUCCUUUCUGGGUUCCAUUAUUAAUAUUUAUAUAUAUCUCUCUCUCUCUCUACACACACACACACAUAUAUAUAUAUAUAUAUACAUACUAUUUACGUAUACAUUAUAUAUACAUAUAUGAGCAUGAGCAUGGGGGGAGGAUCAGGUGGUGGUGGUGAUCAUGAUCACAUUGAUCAUGAUGAUGGUAGCCGCGGCGGCGAUCGCAGUCCGACGGUGGCGAUGGUGGCGGUGCAGGUGGGGUUCGCGGGGCUGAACGUGGUGUCGAAACUCGCCAUGGACUCCGGCAUGAGCCCCUACGUCCUCAUCGCCUACCGCAACCUCGUCGCCACCCUCUUCCUCGCCCCCCUCGCCUUCUUCCUCGAGAGGUAUACAUACAUGCACACAUUAUUUUAAGAUGAUUUUCUAUGCUCUUCGUGAAGUUAAUAGUGCCGCAUGAAUCUUAAGGUGAUUUUAUGAUUAAAAAUUCACAAGCAUAUUGAGCUUCUGUGCUUACAUAUGUAAUGUGUAUACAUAGAUACUCACCCCCUCCACCUACUACACUCAUCUUCCUCUUUCUCUCUUUUUUUCUUUUUUUUUUUUUUAAUGUUUGAGUACCUGUACUAAUGCAAUGUUGCAAAUCGGUCCUUGUACUUUUUUACUUGAACAUUCUUUGAGUUCUUAGUAUUUCACAUGCAUGCAUGUGCAUGCACAUAAAAAUUUCGAUAAAAAUGAUCAUUUAGAUAAAUAUAUAUAUAUAUAUAUAUAUAUAUAUAUAUAUUCUGUGGUCGAAGAUGAAACAUUUUAUCUAAUGUAUAGAAACCAAAUUAAUAUACCAUAAUGAUACAGGGGCUACUGAAAAAUGUUAUCUAUAAUUUUUUCCUUUAUUAAAAUGUGGGUAAAAACAAACAAAACUUAUUUGAAUUAUGAAUUAUUUCGAGUCGACUAUCGAAUCUCUCAAAAAUUUUAUUUAACUACCUAACAUUUUAACUCGUUUGAUUUGAGUCAGUUGACGAUACUUCGACCUCAAACUUUAAGCUAAUUGUGUAUUUUAAUAAAUUUAUAAUUACGAGAUUUGAAUGAAAUAUAUUAAUUAAAUACGUAAAGAUAAACAACGCUUUCAAGUUUCAAAGUCAAAGUAUCGUUGACUAACUCAAAUAAAACAAAUUAGAAAGCUGGAUAGUAAAAUUAAAAUAUUUUAAUAUUGAAUAGUCAACUAAAAAUAAUUCACAGUUUAUAUAAGUUUGGUACAUUUUUUACUCUAAAAUGCAUAAUUAUCAUUAACUAGAAAAUGGAGGGUGGUAACCGGAUCCAUUGAUUAAUGUAGGUUUAGUUUGAUAUUGAGAUCUAUCUGAUGCUAUUAGAUAAAAUAAAGUUGGGAUAAAAAUAUAUAGAGAUAUGUUUCUGCGUUUUCCGGUAGGACCGCAGAAAAUAAAUCGUAACCGACUUAUCGCGAUAUGUAGAACGCAAUACUACGUACAAAAAUAAAUAUGAUGUUUUUUCAUUGUAUUUUUUCACUGCUCUUAACACAAGCCCUAGACUCUGCUGGUGGCAAAACUUCUAUACUGCUAAUUAACUGCUUAUUAAAUGAAAGAUUAAAUACCAAUUGCUAAGCUCUUCUUUAGUUGGAUUAAUGUGCAUGGGUUGGAGCUCAACUUUAAUGCAGCAUGAUGCCACGCGUCCCUUUUGUGGUGCCAGGUGGCAAUUAGUAGCUACUAAUUAAGAUUUGAAAUUUGAUUCAAAAAUCACUAAUUUGUUUAAGGAAAAAGGUAUCUGAAGUUUGAAUAUUUUGUAAACAAAACUCCGAAUUUUUAAUUUUAAUAAUUAUACUUUCUAAAUUUAUCAAAUAGUUUAAUAAAAUUUUCUUUUCAAUUAAAAUUAUUUAAUUAUGUAGCAGCAGCCAAACUCUCUUGUGUUACAUAAUCUAUAAAGUGUAAUAACAAAAAAAUAAUAAUAAUAAAAUUUGAAGAUGGAUUCACUCUAUUCCACUACAACAGAAUUAGGUUAUAGGGAUACAUGUUUGGAACACUUUUGUAUAAGUGUCCCAUUUAUGCUAAAACUUUUAAAAAAAUCUACUAAUGCCUAACUAUAAAGCCCAAUCCAACUAAAAAUAAAAAGUUACUCCUUCAACACACUUUCACUGAGCCCAUUCGGCCUGAUUACAAACAGAAAAGAAAAAGAAAAAGAAAAAUCGAUUACCAUCUCUUUUUCUCCCCUCACUCAAUCCACUGAAAUUCUAGACGAAGAGCCCUUCCCUCUCGUUCUCCUCCGCCACUGCAGCAAACGAGGUAGUGUUCCGGCGGUUGCUAAAUGUUUAAAUAAGUGUUGGUAAUUUAGCAGCACUUUUUUUAGGUUAUGGCGACACUCUUUAACUGUUACUAUAUACCUAGCGAUCCCACAUAUAGCAACACUUUUUAAAAGUGUCAGUAAUUUAGCCAGCAGUACUUUUUUUGACUUAUACCGACAUUUAAAAGUGUCGCUAUAGACCGUUUUUGUUGUAGUGUUCUUAAAUGCUAAUGUUUAUAUCAUAACUAGAAGUGAAUUUUUUUUUUUUUUUUUGUGUUUUGAAUUUACACAAAAUCAUGCGAAAGAUAUGCGAGUAAAACAGGUGUUUAAUUAUUAACUUUGUUCGAGCAAAUCGGUGUCUAUUAAACUAUUUAAUAAAAUUUUGCAAAAUUAAGCUCAGAGAUUUAUUUGCAAAAGAGCUAAAAUUCAGGAGAUCUUUAUACAUUUUAUGGUCGAUUAAAUAGUCUGAUUUAUCCUUUUUUUUCUUUUUUUUCUUUUUUUUUGGUCUUUCUCAUGCAGGAAAACUAGAAUGGAGCUCACAGGCAAAGUCCUAUUCCAAAUUUUCCUAUGCUCAAUUUUUGGGUGAGUAUAAAUUAAUUUCCAUAAUAGGGAAUAAUAAGUGUUAUAAUUAAUCUAUGAAAAAAAAUAUUGUAAUAUGAACCAUAUUGAAAUUAAAAUAGUUCAAUCCUGGUUUAUUCGGUUUGAACACAAAAUCUAUUAAAACUAGUUAUAUAAAUCUAAGUAUAACAUGUCAGAUAUAAGCUAUGUAUCACGGACACUUUUAUUAGCCAAGGGUGUUUGUGUUCAUAUCGAAAACAUGUCUUAUGUAGACGCUCAUUGGGCCUGUGUUUAAUACUCAUACAUAGCUCAAACAAUUAAAAGAAAGAUAUACAUAUUUUUAUUUUACUUUUUUUUUUUAUGCAUUAUAAAUGUAAAAUGAUAAAUAUUUUAAUUUUUGGCUGAAUGCAUAUAAUUUUUUUGACAAUAUAAAUAAAUUAUAUAUAGUGUAGAAUUUUUUUCUUAAAAUAUAUAAAUUAUCAAUAAAAAUUUUACUAACUUUCAUCCGUAAUAGAAAUAUAAUAAUAUUUUAUCAAAAUUAAUAUUUUAUAUAUAAUAAAUAUAUAUUAUCAUAUUAAUAAUAUUAUAUUUUAUUAGUGGUGUCCGUAUCAUAUCCGUGUCCUAAUUUUUUGAAGGCUGCCGAGUCGUGUUGUGUCCCGUAUCCUGUGUAAGUGUUCGUGAUGCCUAAAAUAUAAGUAAAAUUAAUCUUAUUUUUUAAACUUUUUGAUCUAAUGGUAAUAUUUAUUAAGCAUUUUUUAACAUGCAUAAAUUUAUUGGAAAUUUGGUUAAUUUAUUUUUAUUCCAAAAUUCACACAAUUACUGAAAACAAAGAAAAAAAAAUGGUCGUAAGUGACGAAGUUGAUUUAGUGCAUAUUUUUUUUUUGGUGAAUUAAUAAAAUAAUCAGAUAUAUUUAUUUAUGUAUUUAUACGCGUAGGGCUACGAUGAACCAGAUACUGUAUUUUGAGGGGCUCAAGUAUUCCACACCGACAAUAGCGUGUGCCCUCGGUAACACGCUACCCGCCAUCACCUUCAUCAUGGCCGUUCCUUUCAGGUAUAAAUAAUUCGAUAAUAUUUUUAUUUCAAUUCUCAAUUUAGAAUAAAAAUUAGGGUUAAUUUCAUAUGUCUAUAAAAAUAUAGUGAAUGAUAAAUAUAUUUCUAUAAAAUUCAAUUUUUAUAUGUUAUUCCUAAAAAUACCAUGAUGUUUUCAAAUAUAUCCGUACUCAGUAUCUGUUAGAAAAAUUUAGUUAACCAUAGGUUAAAUAUUUAAUCUUGAUUAGUUUUUGAUAUUUUUAUUCCUCUUAUAUUAUAUUGUUAUGAUUUUUAGAGCGACAUAUUUGUGAUGGCAAAAUUGAAAAUAUAAAUAGUUUUCUAACAGUAACAAAUUAGAGAGAUAUAUUUGAAAAUAUUAGAACUUUGACAAAGACAAUAUAUAAAAAUUAAAUUUUUUAGGAAUAUAUUUGUUAUUUACUAUAUUUAUAGGAACCUGUAUAAAAUUAAUCCUAAAAAUUAUCACUUAUAUUUGAUUUGGCAUGCAUGUUAAAAAUCUAAUAGUUAAAAAUAAAUAAAAAAUGCUAUUUUUAUACUAUCAAUAAUAGAAUUCCAACUACAUUCUUAUAAUUACUUCUUUAUUAACAUAAAUACUUAUUAUACUUUUAUUUUUUAAAAAAAUUGAACUGUAAUAUUAGUGCUGAGGUUAUAACAUGUUGGCAUGAUACAGAACAGAGGUUAUAACGUACCGAUAUGAUACAAAAUCGAAAUACGAAAUCUGUGUCGAUGGGUGUUUAAAUACUUUAGUUAUAUAUUUUUUAAUUUUAUUUUUAAGAGGGAGAGAGAUGGGGACAUAAAAAGUGCAUGUUAUACUCACGAGAAAAUGCACCGAGCUUUGGCACACAUGAUGGACAUGGCACCUCUCUCUCUCUCUCUCUCUCUCUCACACAACCGCGUCUUAGUUUAGAGACACGACGGAGUGACACGUGGAAGCUUCUCCACCGCAAACGUGUGGAGGAAAAAGUCAACUCAUUAGGAGAAAUUCCUUGGUGUAACAGUAAAAAAAGAAAGAAAGAAGGAAAAAGACAAAAAAAGAAAAAUAUAUAGCAGUCACAGGAGAAAUAUGGCCUGUGUAAUUAAUCAUAUAUUUAGCUUUUAAAAUUUGGGAAUAAUUACCUAUAUAUCCUUCAAAUUUUAAAAAAAUCUCAUUUAUUUUUUUUUCAAUAUACUCCUUAUAUGUUCUUCCAUUAUAGCUACCAUCCGUUAAGUUAAUUUAGAUUAUAAACGGGAGUUAAGUAUUUAGUAGGGUUAAAAAAAAUUAAACUAUCUCUUUUGUCCUUAACUUAAGGACAAAUAAGAAAUAUUUGUGCUGAUAGAAGAGUACAUUUGAAUAUAACAAAAAUCAAAAUACUCUUUGUACGACUAACUUAAGGACAAAUAAGAAAAGUCGGUGAUGAUUUGAAAGGAUAAAAUAAUAAUUUUAUAUAAAUAAUAGCUAUUGCUAAUCGUUCAUUAAUGAAAUUUAACUCUAGAGGUAUAUUUGAAAUAGUUAGAACGUAAGAAAGGUAUUUUUAAUAUUAGCUUUCUAAAUCAGAAAGUGAGAACUUUUCAGGGAUAUAUAAGUAAUUACUAUUAAAAUUUAUGUAUUUUAUCAUAAUUUUUGUUAAUUUUUUAAUAUUUUUUUUUAAAAAAAUAUAAUUGGCUGGAUAUAAAUAAUGUGACGUAGAUGUUAUACAUUAGACUUUUUGUGUUACCGUUGACUUCAAAUUAUCGUGAUGCUUUGCCCUGGUCCACCGAGUCAGCUGUGAACCGGGCACCAUGGCAUAGUUCUUUUUUAGAAUUCAAAAAAUAUUUUAUCACUACUUUUACUUAUUUAGAUUUUAAAUUAGUAAUUAAAAAAGGCUGGUGAUUUGAAACCCCACGCGCGCCUUUAAAAUCAGUGGUUCAGCCUCUCGUUUGUCGAAAAAAUAAAAAUUUCCAUCAUUAAAAGAAGUAAUAUGUGAGAAUCUUCUACGUAUCUUCAUUUUAGAGCUAAAUAAGAAGCUUUAAAUUAAAUUUUUACGAUUCAAAAUUCUAUUUUAGUUUUCCUUGCAUGCAUUUGAUCCCAAACGGAGCCUAAAUAUACUCAAUUGCUCAUUACAUUUCGUAUUUAGCUUUUGUGUUUUAACAAUCAAUUAGUACAUAUAUAUUACCGUUAGAUUUACUUCUCAGAUCCAUUUCAAUCAUNAUAUAUACCAAUCCACAAAAUCAUAACUAGAUAUCAUCCUUUGAUCAUGUUUGAACAAUUUAGGAUUAUUUAUUUAUAUUUAUAUUUUUCUAUAUUUGUAAAUAUAUUUUCCAUAACAAAAGAGCUCAAACUCAUUAGUAUUAAAAAAAAAUAUUAUUUCUAAAUGAAAUAAACAAAACGGGUAGUGUGACCUAUGUCCCAAAAAACAUAUAUAUAUGAAUUUUGUUUUUCAAAUUUUUGCUAUUGCAGGAUGGAGACAGUUGGCAUUAAAUCAUUGGCUGGGCAAGCGAAGGUUGCAGGUACAGUGCUGUGUGUUGGGGGGUCCAUGCUGAUGACAUUCUACAAAGGGAGCCUCAUCAAGCUGUGGCCCUCCCACAUUCACUGGAGAUACGCUGAAAACGCGACCGCCGGCGGCGGCGGCAGCGGGAACAUGGCCCUCGGUGCCGUGCUCGUCAUCGCCAGUUGCUUCGCCUGGUCCAUCUGGUUCAUCAUUCAGGUAGUCAUACGAAAUGGAAAAAAAAGUAUAAAACUUUUUAGCUAUCGAUCGUUUUAAUACAGUCUCAGAAUGGUUAUCCGAUCGCUAGUUAGUGGUUUAAUUCUUCAGAAUUGAUAUUCGUCUCAAAUAUCACAUCUUAUAUUUGAAUAAUCAGUUUUACGUGUGGUGAAACAAAUCGAGGAAACAUAUAUGAAGUUGUUUUGUUGUAUUUUAUUUUAUUUCUCUGAGGUUGACUUUGUCGAGUUUUUUUGCGAAUGCUUUUAAAGUGAUCGAUUUAUUCUGUUUGAAUAUAUUCUAUUAAAUGUGACAGACUAAGAUGAGCAAGAGCUUUGCCUCUCCUUACACGAGCACCGCGAUAAUGAGCUUGAUGGCCGGCCUGCAGUGCUCCGUCAUUGGCGUCGGCGUCGAGUGGCGUCUUUCUGCGUGGGCACUUGGUUGGGACAUCAGGCUCGCUGCCGUCCUCUACAUCGUAAGCAUCUUAGACCCUCCGUCCACAUUUGCUCUUUGCGGCUCGACCGUUUAGCCCCGAUCGACUUUACGAUGUGGCAUUCUACAAUUCUCAUACAGCUUCUCUCGAUAGCAGAGAAUAUAUAGGAGGCUCCGAAUAGGAGUCUCAAAUUUUGAGCUUUUCGCCAUUUUAGACAUGAAUUGCGAAGAUUCUUUACUUUUCUACUUGCCAAACAUUUUACAAGUAAUUGUCACCGUUGAGAUCAGAAACAAAAACUAGGCUAAACAUUUUCGAUUGUACACUCUCAAAUAUAUUCUCACCUUGAUCUUAUAUCAGGGGAUCAUUGGCUCCGGUCUCGCAUUCGCGCUCAUGUCUUGGUGCAUUCAAAAAAGAGGUCCCUUAUAUGUUUCGAUGUUCAGCCCUUUGCUACUCGUCAUAGUCGCAAUCCUCGGAUGGGCCAUCCUUGAUGAGAAGCUAUAUGUUGGGAGGUAUAUCUAAUUCCUAUAUGUAUAUAUUUUUCGUAACUUAUCAUAAGCCAACACUAGAACUUAUUCGGUCGGUCUAUUUUGACAUUCCGGCUUGGUCUUUGUACUUUCCACUCAAAUAAACACGUCAGUAUCGUUGCGAGUGUUCAAGUGUAAACAUUUAAGUACGAAGGUAUUUGAGUUGAAAAUACAGAGACCAAGUCGCAAUAUUGAGUUAAUACAGAACGACCCGAAGAAGAGAUUUUGAUAUUUCGCUUCUAAUUUGGUUCAUAUCUUUUCUCUUUUGGUAGCGCCGUGGGAUCGGCUCUUAUAGUUGGAGGACUCUACAUGGUACUCUGGGGGAAAGGGAGAGAGAUGAAGAAGAUGAUGAAUUUGGACGACAAAAUAGUUGAAGUAGUGCAACAAGAGAGAGGGGUAGUUGGCUCUCCUACCUUGCCUAUUUAUCUCAACAGCAGUAAUCAGGAGGAUCAGUGUGGCCAACCAUAGAAGGGGAUUUCCUUUUUCCUAUCUUCUGAAUCCUAGUUUGGGAUUGCAUUGUCUAGAAACAAAAGCAUUGCAUGUAUUCUGGGCUCUUAACUUGUGCAUGUACUAAAAUGUGAGAAUGACUGUGAACAACAAUUACAAAUAUCAUCAUCAUCAUCAUCAUGUCUUAUAAGACUCAUUAAAACAAAACUGGUGUGAAACAAAGUGCAAUAAAAAAGUUAAAACUUCAUGCUUGGCCCAAUGGGGGUAAGAAAGGGUGUUCCAGUAAGUCACAAGCCCAAGACUAAUUAGGGUUAGGAAUUAGGGGCCCUUUGGUUAGAUGUAAUGAAAAAUAUAGUAUAGUUAAAGAUGCGUAUAGCUGAAAAUACAACUAUUAUAAUUGCAUACAUCUUGUUCGGUUGAAUGCAAUAGAAAGUUGUAAAUAAUUUAUUUGGUUGCAUGUAGUUAGGAAGUCCAUUUUUACAAUUUAGCAUUUUAUAUAUGUGAGAGCGAGAUUACCUUUAAUUAAUUUAUGAUAAAAAAUAUUUUCUAGUUAACAACCGAUCAGACUUCAAUUUUAAUGGAGUUACAAAAGCAGCGCAGUUACAAUUAUAUACAACCAAACAACCCCAUAGUUGAGUUGGCGGAACAGGCAUUAUAAGAACAAACCAGCUAUGGAUUCAUCCAGAAUGCCAUAUAAUCUUAAGCCAAAUAUGCAGGUAAUUUUUUUGCUUCCUAGCCUAAAUCUUCUUCUUUUUUUUUGCAACUCUCUGCACAGCAAAUUCUCCAAACAUUUUAUUUCUAAUUUAAUGAAAAUAAUAAUAGAGUCGUUUAUGAUAUAUUUCUUUAAUUACUAAAUUUCAUUAAUAAGGAAAACUACAAUUUCGCCUAAACUCUUAAUUUGAAAAAAUAAAAAUAAAAAUUAAAGAGAUGCGACCUACAAAAACCAAACUUAGGGAUACUAAUUAGAAUGGCCUUUGAGAAUCACCAAAUCAUUUAACAGGAUUUUCACUAGCAAGUGAUGGAGGAUCAAAUUGAAAGUUAAAUAAAACGUUCGAUCGUAAAUUGUAAACUCUCUAAAUAAAUAAGAUAAAUUAUUCGCCAAGCAAUAAACUGUAUAGAAAUAAUUGCCGCAAAAUUAAGUACCCAUAUUCUUAUAUUCGCAUAGUUUUGUGUUGAUGUGGAAAAUAUUGUAUGUUGCAACAUUGAUGGAACUUUUGUUUUUAGUUUUUUAUAACUUAGCUUGGACUUCUAUUGACUUUUUAGUACUCAUGAGAGAUGUAGCAGCAGAGAGAGAAGCACGAUGAAAGGUUUUAGAAUAAUCAGAAUAUACGCGCACAACUUUUCAACUAUGAAAAUUUAAAAUGAUAUUCUCUACUUUUUUUCUUAUUUUGAAUUAAAAUUUGAUUUUUUUAGAAUUAAUAUAAUUUUAGUCCAAAAUUUUAAAAAAAUUAUUAGAUUUAUGAUCAUUUUCUCAAAUUUUGAAUUUUCAUUUGGAUCUGCAUGUUCCAAACGUGGUCGGAUUCAGCCCACUAUCCAUUCUUGGCGAAUUCUUUAACUAACCCGUCGUCAAUAACCGCCAUACCAAAGAUCUAACAAUUAGUAAGAACCAGGUCCACCACGUCAUCAGUGUAUCUCAAACGAUCGACUCUCCACAUCAUCCUUCUUUAAAAUCACAACCGUCCAAUAAAUUUCUAUUUUUUGAAAAUUUAAAAUGGAGAUUUAAAUAAAAAUCGAGCGAACCGCUGAUAAUUUUGGUCCACAAUGAGUUGGUGCACCAGGUUCAGAAAUAUAAUUUGUAUGUUUCUUCUAGGCGUUUCCCUUCACCCCACUUUCCUUCCCGAAAUACCCCAGGCCAAAACUCUUCUCUCUCUUCUCUCUUUCUCUCUCUCUCUCUCUCUCUCCUCUUCCAUCCUCUCCAAUCCUCCGAACCCUCUCCUCGGACUCUUCUUCUCCCUCUCUCUCUCUCUCUCUCUCUCUCUCUCUCCUCCCAUCGCCAUGUCGCGUCUCCGCCCCUCCUCGCGCCGCCUCCUCUGGUGCGGCGGCGCUGCCGCCGCCGCCGGAAUCUUCCCAAAAUGCCCACACCACCACCACGUCCUCGGCCGCCGCCUACUCUCCUCCGCCGCCGCCGCCGCCGCCGCAGCCCGCCGCCUCCUCGACCCAGCCCCGCUCUCCCCCGAUCCCAUUCGUGUUCCACCACCUCGCCCCCUCGGGGGCGCUUUGGGGACCCUCCGCCGCCUCCACACGUUGCCGGAGCAGGUCUCCGGCGCCGGCCUCGGAGGCGGGGACAAGACCUUCGAGACUAUCUGCAUCCACGGGGUCGGCGCGAGGCCUCUCGUGGUGGAGAACGUGGCGGCGGCGUCCGGAGCCCUAGAGGACGACGAGGAGGAGGAGGCUAGGGUUAGGGUUAGAGAAUCCGAGGUGGGAGAAGAAGGUGCCGUAACCCUAACGGAAGAGGAAGCUAAAGUCAAAGAGGGUAGCGGCAGAGACGCGAUUUUGGACGGAUCGGAGGUCGAAUCGGAGGCGAGGAGGGAAAAAGAGGAGUCGGCGACGGAGAAGGAGGCGUGGUGGCUUCUGAAUAGGGCGGUGGUGAGCUACUGCGGGAGCCCGAUUGGGACCGUGGCGGCGAACGAUCCCGGAACGGUGAACCAGAUGCUCAAUUACGACCAGGUUUUUAUCAGGGAUUUCGUUCCCUCCGCCAUUGCUUUCCUCCUCAAGGGAGAGGGCGAGAUCGUUCGCAAUUUCCUACUCCACACCUUGCAGCUUCAGGUUAAAUAUCUUCUAUUUUUUCGAUCGAAUACCUUGUUAGGCUAUCAUAUUGGUACUAUUGUUGUUUAGUAACUUCUUUUUAGGGUUGGCAAUUUUGCUGAAUACUUGGACAUAAUGUGCUUAAUAUUUUCAUGAGAAUGUUUUUUAAGUUGUUUAAUUUUUGUUGGUAGGAUGUGAAGAAUUCUAGUAGUUGCUAAAUCUGGCAAAUUAAACUGAAGUGAAUUGUUAGCACCUACCAGAGAACUCAUUGGCGCCGCACUAAAUGAUUCCUAAUUGCAAUGAAAGGUAGCUAAAAGAAGUAAUCUUAAGAAAAGCUGUUUGUGAUGCACUAAUGGGCAGUAACCUAAUAAAGAUAUAUACUGAGAAUUACUUUAUUCAUGAAGGAGUUCCGUACUUUGUUAUUACAUAAGUUUUAGUAGUAGUUGAUGAGCCAGUUAGUUCAUUUUUCUUGUCGACACCAUUGAAUGAUCUUGGUAUGAGGAAAAACAAAAAAUAUUAUGCGUAAUUAAAGGUAUUGAACUAUGACAUCCUGUUACUCUCCGUAGACAGGACUGUCUAUAUGCUUUUAGAUCUCAACAAAUAUUGAAUUUCGAAUCUCUCAACAUAUGAAUUCCUUGUAAACUACAAUCCCUGCAAACCUGCUAAUUUCAAUUUUCUCACGUCUAAAUGGUUUCUAUGCUACUUGGUGAGCAGAGUUGGGAGAAAACUGUGGAUUGCUACAGUCCUGGCCAAGGGCUAAUGCCUGCUAGUUUUAAGGUUAGAACUGUGCCUUUGGAUGGAAGCAACGAAGCGUUUGAGGAGGUUUUGGACCCUGACUUCGGAGAAUCCGCUAUUGGGCGUGUAGCACCUGUUGAUUCUGGUGAGUAUAUGCUGUGUACUUUUAUAGCUUUAUGAGUGUUUCUUGUGUUUAUACCUCCGCAAAUAUGUAAAACUGCAUAAAACCCGUACAAAACCACGUACAUGAGCAUAUCUCUGAGAAACCUUAUGUAUUUCCAUUCAUGACCCUGCCGUGGUAUCUAAGCAAAAAACUUUUUAAGCAAAUAUACCCCUGAUAUGGCAUGGAUGCAAAUUUAGGUUGUUCUUAGGGGUACACACGCAAACACCAACUCUGUAUGGGUAGGUGUGCAAUUUUGCAUGUUUGUUGGAGGCCAUUCUGUAAUGGCAAAUGGAUCUGUUAUUACAUAGAAUCAAUGGAUAAUUAGAGGGAUCUAAUGGUUAUCACUAUUGUUGCUAGGACUUUGGUGGAUUAUUUUGCUGAGAGCUUAUGGGAGGAUUACUGGAGAUUAUGCGCUGCAAGAGAGGGUUGAUGUACAAACAGGCAUUAAAUUGAUUCUGAAUUUAUGUUUAUCAGAUGGAUUUGAUAUGUUUCCUUCUCUAUUAGUCACUGAUGGCUCUUGCAUGAUUGAUCGACGGAUGGGCAUUCAUGGGCACCCUCUUGAGAUCCAAGUAAGUUGAUAUAGUACAUUUUCACUUCAGUGUUCUGUACUGUCAUUUAUAUCAGUUAGGUGCCCUAAGCUUGCUAGUCUAGUUUCUUUGGGGACCUUUCUAUUAAUCCUAUUAGAAUUUGUGUUUGGAUGGUGCUUAGGCUAUAUAGUCCUCAACGGUGCUUAGGCUAUAUAGUCCUCAACGGUGCUUAGGCUAUCUUAUUGACAUGCGUUUUCCUUUUGUCCCAAGUUGGUCCAUUCAUAGUUUGUUUGAUUAGAAAAUGCAGAAAGAUAGCUGAGGUAGCUUUUUUUUUUUUUCAUUUAUUUUCUGUCUUUUUAAGUUCUUUCCAGUCAAAUUACAUGAUCUGCCAAAAAAAGUUUAUAAUCAUUUUUCACUUUCUUAACAAAAUUCAUUUUGCAGGCUUUGUAUUAUUCAGCUUUGCGGUGCUCCCGUGAAAUGAUAUCAAUCAAUGAUGGAUCUAAGAACCUCGUCCGCGCUAUUAAUAACAGACUCAGUGCUCUUUCCUUUCACAUCAGGGAGUACUAUUGGGUGGAUAUGAAAAAGAUCAAUGAGAUAUAUCGUUACAAAACUGAAGAGUAUUCGCAUGAUGCCAUUAAUAAAUUCAAUAUAUACCCAGAGCAGAUUCCUUCAUGGCUAGUUGAUUGGAUUCCUGAAAAAGGAGGAUACCUGAUCGGAAAUCUACAGCCGGCCCACAUGGAUUUUAGGUUCUUUUCACUUGGGAAUUUGUGGGCCAUAGUCUCUUCUCUAGCCACUGAAAGGCAAGCGAAGGGCAUUCUCAAUCUUAUUGAAGCCAAAUGGGAUGAUCUAGUAGCAAAUAUGCCUCUUAAAAUAUGUUACCCUGCUUUGGAGUACGAGGAAUGGCGUAUUAUUACUGGGAGUGAUCCGAAGAACACGUGAGUGUUUUAAUGGACUAUCGUCUUUUUAGUGCUUUCCGAACAGCCUCUUUUUUCCCAAAAAAAAAAAAAAUUACUUCAGGAGGUAUGGGAUGUUGUACACCUCUACGUAACCAAAUUAUCAAAAGUUCUCCACAAAAAAAAACAUUUGAUACAUUUAAGAUUAUUAAGAUUUUCGAACCUUUAGAAAUUGUGGGCAAUAAUCAUUUUUGUCUAACAAGAAGCAUUGCUUUAUGUGCAGCCCUUGGUCAUACCACAAUGGUGGAUCUUGGCCGACGUUACUAUGGCAGGUGGCUUUUCCAUCACUUUUGACUCAAUAUCUGCCUUUCCCAAUUAUAAUUCUGAAAUUCUGAAGUUUUCUUCUGCAUUACAUUUGUCAGCUCACACUUGCCUGCAUUAAGAUGGGCCGACACGACCUAGCUGAGCGGGCUGUCUCCUUGGCCGAGAAGAGGCUAUCGAAUGAUAAGUGGCCGGAAUACUACGACACCCGAUCAGGGAGAUUCAUCGGUAAGCAGUCGCGCUUAUACCAAACAUGGACGAUAGCCGGAUUCCUCACCUCCAAAAUGCUUCUAGAAAACCCGGAAAUGGCUUCGAUAUUAACAUGCGAUGAGGACCUCGAGCUUCUGGAAGGUUGUGCUUGUUGCCUCAGCAAAAGUGCUCGGAUCAAGUGCUCCCGCUUAGCUGCCCGAUCACAGGUCCUUGUUUAAAAGGUGGCCAAGUUUACCACCCCUACUUUUCUUUUUUCUUUUAAAGAAAUAAAUUACAGUGUACACGAGAGGAAAAAGAAAAAUAUAUUGAUAGAGGUGUUUGAUUACUUCGAAAACAACAAAGGGAUUCGUUUGUUCAGGUGAAAGUGGUUCACUUGCAUGUUAGUAUCUGUACAUUAAAUUUUCUUCUUGCCGGAUAUUUCUGUAAAUAUUGCCAACUUCUUACAUCACUAACUAUUGUACUGGACCAUAGUCGAUGCAACAGAUUUUGACAGAUCAGCAAAUUGGAUGAUUUUAGAGAUGUAAAGUUGUUUUAGUCAGCUAUAUAUAUAUAUAUAUAUAUAUGUAUAUGGAAUUAUGUUACUAUACUAUCGAUAGUACCAAAUGUUUGGUACUAUUAAGUUUUCGGCCGUUGGAUGAAAGGAUGUGCAAUUAGGAUAAUAGUGGUCUCCGGGUAGGAUGAUAGUGAUCUCCUGGUUGGAUGAUAAUGGUUCCCUAGGGUUGAGUGGAUGGUUGAUUGAAUAGUAUAAUCUAAUGGAUGGAAAUGAUCAAAAGGUAGAUCUAACGGUAGAAACCUCGAUAAUAUUAAGAGCUUGGUACUGUUGCUAGUAAAGUAGUUAGACUCAUAUAGAAUUGAGCUCGUACCAUUGAAUUAAAGAAUGUGCGGUUAGGCUGAAGUGGGACCCUUAGGGUUGAGUGAGUGGUUGGUUGAAUAAUAUGAUCUAAUGAGUGAAAAUGAUAAAAGGAAUAGAUCUAAUGGUAAUAAAUUUACAAAUACCAAGUGUUUGAUGUUUUUAUAAGUACCAUAGCCGGACUCUCUCUCUUUCUCUCUCUCUCUCUCUUUCUCUCUCUCUCUCUCUCUCUCUCUCUAUAUAUAUAUAUAUAUAUAUAUAUGAGUCUAUGGGGGAGUAAUUUGUUUUUUACAUGAACUUUUAAAAGUUUUGAUAUCACUUACCUUAAUCUUACAGAAGAAUUUCAUAUAUCAAACAUAUUUCUAGCCCUUCCUGAUCGAGUAUUUUGAGACCUUAUAGAAUAUUCUUCUAUCUGAUGAAUUGUUACAUAAUUUUGUUUGGCUGAAAAAUAUGUGUCGACUUCUGACAAACCUUGCCUGCAUACUCUGGAAUCAAAAGUUGCCAAAAUUUCCAAGUUCAGGUUUCCGUCGCAAGAUCCACUACAUUUCAUGUGAAAUCUAAAUGAUGGAUCUUAAAUGAUUCAUAGACUAUUCACCUAUAGUAAGAAGUUGUCAUGAAGACUCAAAAUGAGAGCACUAAGGCCACAGUAAACAAGUUAUCUGCAAUCUUUCCUCAGCUUGCUCACAGUAUUUGCUGUCGAAGCAGCGAACUUCCGUCCUCGGCUUUUGGGUGCUCCUGAUUUGCUGCUGCUUCGACUGCCGCUGAGCUGAAAAUCGAUUGAGCAGCCGCCGUUCCUCCGAAUUUGCGAAUUGCAAACAACUGCUUUCGUCGUCGAGAAGCGCUCUAAAGAGCAAGAGGAGAGAGGCCAUUUUCAUGCAAAGGUCCAUAUUUUCCUUUCACUGUGUUCGUAUGUUUUUAUAUCUGUCAAUCUCAAGUUAUUACUUGUACCUUAAUUUCUGGUAGAUCAUAUAAAACUGCUGUUGGGUCGCAUGUAAAGAUCGUGUGACCUGCUCGUUCAAAUAUUAAUUGCUCGGCUUCGUAACAAAAUAGAAACUAACCUCUUUUAAUCGGUCAAUGGUUGUUGAUCCACCUGUAUACUCGUCCGUUUAGGUGGAGUAUUAAAUUAAGUUAAUCUUAGUUAUGUUUGUGUAUUGUAAACUUUGGAAAGAAUAAGUACCUCAACUGUUCCUGGUACUCAAAAGUCUAAAAGACCGUUAUGCCCUUCUCUCAUCAUUCCUUUUCGCUUUUAUACCUGAAAUCCCAUUAUUAUCACGAAGAGAUGCUAAUCUUACAAUUAAGUCGUCCAGAUUUUUUCAAAUUUAAAUUCCCUUCCUCACCAGAUAAGCAAUUUUUUUUUAGAACAUGUUUAAACUAAAUUGCAAAAGAUCCAUACGUAUAUUUUAUAAGGCCCAUUAUGGAUCUGAAGCCCAGCCCAAUUCAAGGCCCAUUAGACCCCUCUCCCCCCGCGAGGCUACCACCAUCAUCAAGGCUCUAUGCGGACGCGGCGCCACCGCGCUCGCCCGCAAGGUGUUCGACGAAAUGCCCCACCGGGACGUGGUCGCCUGGACGGCCAUGAUCUCGGGCUACGCAUCCAACGGCCUGCACGACGAGGCGUGGGCGACGCUCCGCCGCAUGGCGGGCUCGGGCGCGGCGCCGAACGCGUUCACGCUCUCCGCACUGCUCGCGGCGUGCCGGGGCCCGGGGCGGCGCCGCGCCCGCGCUGCGGCGCACGCCUCCGCCGUGCGGCGCGGCCUCGGCGCCGCGCCGUACGUCGCCAACGCGCUCCUCGACGCGUACGCGUCCUGCGGCGACGGGGCCGUGGGCGACGCCCGGCGCUUGUUCGACGAAAUGGCCGAGAGAACGGCGGUGACGUGGACGGUUAUGAUUGCGGGGUAUGCCAGGUGGGGUAGGGCUGACGUGGCACUCGAGAUGUUCAGGAGAAUGGUCCUUGUGAGUAUAUUAUACGCGACAUGCAUUUACCAUACUAGAAAUAUGUUGGCCGGACCCGGUCUAUAGACCGGAAGAUAUGACUACGUUCUUCUUAGUGGGAGUGGCAAAUUGUGACCCGACCCGGUUCCCCAAUCAUGCCCGACUCGAAAAAUAUCCGGAUCUAGACCCGUAAUCCGCUUCGAAAAAUCAGGUGUUCUGAGUUCUAUAAUUCUUAUAGACUUAUAUAUAUACACCCCGAGUCGUUGAAUCCAACUCCUAAUAAUUGUUUAAAUAGACGUAUAUAUCUACGUUUGAAGCAAAUCUUACUACAAAUGUGUCAUCAAUUUUACAUUUUUAACAUGCAUAUGACAAUUCAAUCUUUUACAAAGCAGGACAGCGUCGAGCCGAGCCCGUUUGCUUAUUCCAUCGCAAUCAGCACGUGCGGCUCGAUCCGACACCCGACACUCGGUCGGCAGCUUCAUGCAGCCUCUGUUAAACAUGAUCUUAUUUCCAACACCCCCCUCUCCAACUCGUUGAUCGACAUGUACUGCAAAUGCACGAAAAUUCGCCAUGCAAAGUUGUUGUUCAACACCAUGCGUCGAAAAGACGUGAUCACUUGGAACACAAUGAUAGCCGGGCUCGACCGUCACUCUCCGCACGAAGCCCUUCAGCUGUUUCUCGAAAUGCGCGUGCAAAACAUGCGGCCGAAUUGCUUCACUUUCACUAGCGUCGCGUCUUCCUGCGCUAGUCUCGCAGUUUUACGAUGCGGGCGGCAAGUUCACUGCGCUGUGCUUCGGAGCGGGUUCGGAAAUAACCUGCAGGUAUGCAAUGCGCUUAUCGAUAUGUACGCCAAAUGUGGGAGCGUGGACGAGUCGAAAAAGGUGUUUGAUGAGAUGUCCCGUAGAGACCUACUAUCGUGGACAUCGAUGAUGAUCGGUUACGGGAACAACGGGUACGGCUACGAGGCAAUUCGACUGUUUGACGAGAUGGUAAAUGUGGGUAUCCAAUUGGACCAUGUUGUAUUUCUGGGUCUAAUCAGUGCUUGUAGCCAUUCUGGGUUAGUCGAAGAAGGAUGGGAGUACUUUAAUUUGAUGAAAACCGAGUAUCAUGUCGAGCCUAAUUUGGAGGUCUAUGGUUGUGCUGUAGAUCUGUUAGGACGUGCAGGGAGGAUCGAAGAAGCCUUUGAUUUAAUACAGAGAAUGCCGUUUGAACCCGGCGAAUCGAUUUGGGGGGCGCUUCUCGGAGCUUGUAAGAUGCAUAAGAAUGUAAUCUUGGGUAAAUUGGCGGCGAAAAAGAUAAUGGAGUUGAAGCCAAGAGGGGCGACGACUUAUGUUCUACUUUCGAAUAUUUAUGCUGCGGAGAGAGAAUGGGGUGAGUUUGCGAAGGCGCGGAAGGCGUUGAGAGGGACGAGUGAUAAAAAAGAGGCAGGGAUGAGUCGGAUUGAGGUUAGCGAUAAGUUGUGCAGCUUUGUAGCUGGUGAUAAUACUAGUUACUAUGUUGGUUUGUGCAGUGAUGUGUUGGAUAGUUUGGCUCGGCAUAUGGAUGAGAACUCGCAAUUGGAAUUUAUAAGCUGAUGGUGUUGCAUAGUGUUAAUUUAGAUAUAUAGCUCGGGAGCGCGGUGAAACUGUAUAUUGAUCUUAUUUUUCUGGACUUUGUAAAGGGCGACUUGCGUGAAUGCACAGUAUCAUCCAUCUUAGAUUGAUUUUGCGAAUAAAAUACGGGGUAGAGUUUAAGAAGAAGAUUCGGAAAUUGGUGUCUCAAGAAGAGGGUCUAUCAGUUUGCUCUUUGAGCUGGUACAUAGUGAAAAAGUUUUGGAACAACUCGGAGAAUAAGAAGUUCAACUAUCUGAUCCAAGUUGCUUUUAGCGAAAUCGCUCACCAGGUAUAGCUAAAUUAGUCAUUUUGCUUUUGCCAUUCUUUCCUUGCCGUUGAGACGUAACGUAACAAGGAUGUUUAUGGCUAUUAAUUUCAUGUUAAGAAUGUUAACUGGUUUUUUUUUUUUUUUUUUUCNUUUUUCGCCAUCUGGUAAUUUACGAAGAUAUACACUUAUCACAGAACAAAUACAUCAGCCUUGUUAUUGGCUUUACCACUUAGGAUGUACAUGCUAGAGAAGCAGACGAUGACGGCGCAAAUUGUCUUUUUACAAUUCAACUGUCCAACCUACACUUAUCUCAUGAGGAACAGAACUACAGAAGAGCCAAAAAGUCCAAGAUAUUUCUGAGGGGAGGGAAAACCACAGCCUCAGCUUUGUCUGAUGCCUUAUACUUGUGUUUGAUUCUUUCUCACUCCUCUCUAUCCUCUCCUUCUCAUUGAUUAAAACAAACAUGCUAAGCAAUUUAGCAUCGGCGUCUCCUCCCUCUCUCUUCUCAAAUUUCCUCCAUCGUCGGAAGCCCUGCUUUUCGCACUCUAAACCAUUGUGCAGCAGCCUCAGUAAGGAAAGAAGAAAAGGCACUAAAUUCAAAUGGCUCUCUAUCUCCUUUUCGCUUUUCGGGUCGGGGUUCUUCCUGGGCCCUCUUCUCGAUGGCCUGCAUUCGAGGGUCAAUCUCCAAGUGUACCGAAAUUGGGCCGUCGAUAUCGGCCCUCUUCGCACCAACAUCCUCGUACUGUUUCUUUCAAAUUUUCCCUCCAUAUAUAUUUUUUUCUUUAAUUGAAGUACAAUCUCUAUGGUUAUUAUUAGGUCCCUCUCCUCCUUGGGGCGUUUUACUGCACUAUCGGAUUGCUGCAGCUCUACUUGGAUGAAAAGGCCACUUCUAGUAAUGCAAAGCCUUCAGGGAGCUUGAACAAGGCGGCGAUAUCACUAAUGUGCGUAAUCUCAGUGGCACAAAAUCUUUCGGUAAAUACGUAUCGAGACGCCCUGAACUGUAGGCCAUUCUGAAAUAGACCGCUCAACUUUAUUUUCAAACAUUUGCUCGUUUCUGUUAAACGUAAUUGCGAUUCUGAUGAAUUGAAGAGCUUUACCGGCUUUAAAUCGAUCCAUUUUUCUCUCUAUUCUUUGCCGUCAGAGCCCUUGCAUUAUUCGUCGAACUGAGCGCUGAACUGUACAAAGCUGGAGUUCCGAGCAACGUUGAAGCCUACAUACUAUUUGCAGCAGCAGAAUUUUUGUGGCUAUUGCUGGAUGGAACAUGGCUAGGGUUUGCGCUCGCGUGCUUUGUCGGCAUUGCAUGCCCUAUUGCUGAGAUCCCAUUAAUGAAGUAAUUUGCCUAACAUUUUUUAAACUUCUGAUUAUUAGCUCAACAUUCUCUUUCAAAUCAUUUUUUGUUUUUCAGUUUUGGCCCACUUUUUUUCCUUUUCCAGUUAAACCUCUUAGGGGCAUUCCAUGCAAAGAUGUUUCAGCUAAAACCGAAAAAUGGCCGAAAAACGUGCCAACAUUUUUUUUAUUGAUUGCUGCUUCUGUAUCAUCAAAUAUUACAGGAUUUUUCACCUCUGGAAUUACCCAAAUGCUGAUAUCCAACUAUUUGGUGAGGUAAAACCCUCAUUUCUUUUCCCCCCCCUCAGUGGUUCUUCAAAUUGCUAAGCAAUGAGAAAUGUAUAAAUGGUAUUGUUUCCUCUUUUCGCAGGGGCUGAUCAGUUGGACAACUACCUGCUAUUUUGUUUACACUCCAUUUUUGAUCAAUUUGUCGCGUUGGCUCAAGUCGUCCUUCGCCGAUGAUAGCGAUCAAAUAGUUCAGUAGGCAUACAGCAGCAGCAGCAGCAGCAGCAGUUCCGAUGAAACAAUGGAUUUCUCAAAAAUGACGGUAUCGGAGAAGUGUCAUUUGAUUUUAUAUUAACACUCUCGUUCACGCCUUGGCUCAGAAUUUCUCAAUAAGCCCAAAUUGUUGACGUUGGGUCAAACUAGUUUUGGGUUUUCUUUUAACUACUAUUUAAACAACAGAACUGUUUACUGUUUGAUACAACAAACUCGAAACUUCUUGCUCUGAUCAUGUCUUGCGAAAGAUUUGAAUGUUCCAAUAACUUAAGCUAGCAGAGAAAGUAGUACCGUACCUGCUAUAGGACACGAAAGUGUACUCCGUAUUUAACUGAUGUACACGGAAACGAAUUAAAUACACAAUGUGAUCAGUUUAGCCUGAGGUGCUAGCUCAUUUAUGUGGCCAUAUAAGGUUACCUGUUUCAUUAUAGAAAUGAAGUAAUGCACAGCUCAAAGACAAUGAAUCUGGUUAUCAGCAAGAGUGACCAAAUAGAUACAUAUCUUCUUCAGUAGUAAUACUUUUUGGUACAAACUUACCGAAUUUAUUUGAACUAAGGACUAUUUUGAAUUGACUACUAAAUCUUUCAAACUUAGUUUUACUGUCUAAUUUUUUAAUUUAUUUGAUUUGAGUCGGCCAAUAAUAUUUUAAUUUUAAAAUCUGAAUGCGUUGUUUAUUUUUAUAGGUUUAGGUAGCAUACUUCAUGCAAUUGCUGCAAUUAUAGAUUAAUUAAGCUAAGUAGUAAUUAGCUUAUAUUUUGAAGUCAAAGUGUCGUUGGCCGGUUCAAAUCAAACAAAUUGAAAAAUUAGAUAAUAAAAUUAGAACUUUUAAAAAUUGGGCAGUCGAUUCAAAACGACCAUUAGUUCAUGUAAGCUAUGUACAUUUUUACAUAUUUUUUUUAGAGAGAAUGAUAGCAUGUUACUGCUUAGUUUAUUUUAAAAAAAAAUAAAUUUAACUAAAAAUAUAAAGUACGGGUACCAACCAACUAUAAAGUUUUUUAUCACUUGCGGUAGAGACGGUCGAUUUCUUUAGCCGUAACACUACUCUGGAUAAAUUACCACCCUAUGCAAUUUUCUCAGAAAUGGUAAAUGUACUAUAAUCCCUCUUGAGUUUAAAUUUGAAAUUUGUGAUAUAUAUAUAUAUAUAAAAACAAGAUGACAUAUUCUCUCACUUAAUGAAUGGCACAUCUUUUUGUCAGAUGGUAGUUGGCUCUUAUUUUAUUCUCUUGCACCAAAAAUGUAUACAAAACUCACCAAAUUCAAAAGCUUCAUUAAUAAGAACAUGCACUUCUCUUCCCUAACAUGGGAGCUACAGCACAAAAUAAAUGAUAGCAGUGCAGUAGCACAUUGUGAUUCUUCACCAUUUUGGGUAGCAAAAUUAUUAGUUACUAACCGACCGUCCCUGGCGUAAGCGACAAAGGACUUGGCAGUUGGUACUCGAGAUCCCAAGUUCGAAUUCUAAUUGAUUCACAUUUCCAGCUAAGUUUAUUUCUAAGUGAAAUAAACGAAACGGAUAACGUGCUAUCUAUUUUUUUUUUAAAAAAAUUUAUUAGUUACUAUUAUUGGCUAAAAAGCCCAAUAAUUGUUAAUCAGUAGUGUCACAUUAUUUCUUAGAGAUGAAUUAUUAGUUAUCUCGUGGCAGAAAAAUAAUAUGAUAAUUAAAAUAGCCACCACUUUACUAAUGUGUUUAAAAAAAUUACAUGGAGGUUAACAAAACAGUGAUUAAAAUAUAAAUCAAAGUUUAGUAUCUCAAUUAAAAUAAAUUAUAGUUUGAUGACCCAAAUUAAAGCCUAAAGGAGAGUUCUCUCCAAAAGUAAUAUGCCUCAUUUAAAAGAGUUCAAUUUGUUGCUCUUCUGAGGAUAUUAGCCACCUAAGAAAAGUGGGCUUUCUAUGUAUUUAGUAUGUUCAAAUUUUUUUUUUCACAAAUAACCUCAUAAAAUUUAUAAUUAUAAAAUUAGUCAUAUUCCUGCCACGUAAACGUCACGCGAGCAUGGCUGGAAGUCCAGAUUAAGUUGAACACGGUGAAUAAUUCACCGUGUUAGGACACAAAAUGAAUAAUUCACUAUGUUCAACUUAAACUUAUAUAACUUAAAUUUAUAUAUUGUAUAAGUUUAAGUUGAACACGGUAAACUAUUCAUGACGUCCAAACAACGGUGAAUGAGUGGUUCACAGUAUUCAACUUAUUCCAUACUCAUAUGACAUUUGCUUGGCGGAGAUAGGAUCAAUCUUGUAAAUAUAAAUUUUGUGAGGUUAUUUAUAUAAAUUUUUUUUUUUUAGUAGGCUAAAAUGCAGAAAAAAAAUCCCCCAAAAAAAAGUUCAUGGAAAUCAAGUUUUGUUCACUUGUGCAUCAAUCUUUGUUAGAAAGCAAAAAUGCAUCAAACUUUUCCAUCAUUCAAACUUAAUUACACCUUUGCACUCUAUCAAGUCCAUCGUAUCAAUUCCAUAGCUUUGUUAUUGUACUUUUAAGUUUUGGUAAAAAAGUAUAAAAUUUAUCCAAAUUAUAGUCCAUUUUUAUUUUAGUACUCAAAUCUUUCAAAAUUUGAUUUUAGAGGUUAGAAUUUUAAUUGGUUUGAUUUAAAUAAUUUGAAGAUUCUUCGGAUAUAAAAUUUAAGCUAAUUAAUUAUUUUAAUAAAUUUAUAGUUACACAGAUUGAAUAAAAUAUACUAAUUAAAUACGUAAAGAUACUAAAGCUUAAAUUAAAUAAACUAAAAGAUUAAAUAGUAAACUCAAAAUUUUUAAAAUUUAGACAGUUAAUUAAAUUUGAAUGAAUAAUAGUCAAGUUUUAUACAUUUUAUCCGAGACCGCACGCAUGCAUUUGAGUUCGUGCACCUAACUUAUGCCUCUCGGGUCCGACUAUUCAGAAUGCACUAACCAUAUGAGCACAUAUAUCGCGUCUAAAACCUGCUUCGUUCGGGUCCAGUUAUUUUGAGUGCACCAAAGAGUGUAGGAUCAUCAAAUCAUCAUCGGCUCUGAUAUCACUUGUUAGGAAGAUCUAAACCCAGGCCGAGCCCACGCGAGGCCGAGGGAGGAUGUGUUAUAUUUAAUAAAAAAAGUUUAAGCCUAUUAAUUAGGUCCGGACUGACUAGUCUAUAUAUAUCAACCAACUACUUUUUUAUGAAAUAGCUAAUAUGGUACAAUUCAUAUAUAAAUUCUUAACAGGAAAAACUGAACUACUAGCCAGCUACCACAUUAUAUGCACGCUCGUGCGCACGUGCACACACGCAUAUAUACAUAGAGAGAGAGAGUCUAACUAUACUGUUUUUAAAAACACCGAGCAUUUGGCGUUUAUAAGUUUUUUAUAGUUAGAUUUAUUACUUUGAUCAUUUUUAUCUGUUAGAUCAUAUUAUUCAACCAACCAUUCAUUCAAUUUUAUGGAGGCGCACAUCUCUUAAUAUAAGGUCUAAAAUAAUUUGUUUUUUUUUUUUUUUGAGAAAAAGAUAGCAAGCUACUUGCUUCAUUCAUUAAGUAAAAUGAACUGAGCGUACAUGAUGGAAGCAGCUAAGGCCUCUGAAGAAAGGCGAGGAAAGAGAUCGAAAAAGGUGCAAAAAGAUUACAAAAGCAAGAGUGGUGUCGGGAAGAUGGAAGUGUAAGUUGGAGAGCUAGCAAAUUGUUAUCGCAGCACGUUCCAGUCGCUCAUCAGAAGGUUGACCCGUUCAAGUGCCCGGCUGGCAUUGGCCGGUAUUGCCCGGAAUAUAGAGUUGUUUCUGUCCGUCCAAUAAUUUGGUAUUUUUAAAAGUAUAGAAAUCAAUUCUAUAUAUGUAUGUACACAGAGAGAGAGAGAGAGAGAGAGAGGGGCCAAAGUGGCCAAAGUGUAAUUAAUGUUAAUGAAUGACUACAGUACUAGCUCUCCAGCGCAAUUUAUUGAAGGGCUCCUUAAUAAAACCUCAUUGAGACAGUUUAUACGUAAAUCUUAUAAUUUGAAGGGCUCCUUAAUGAGAUCUCAUUAAGACAGUUUAUUCGUAAAUCAUAUAAUAAUUUACUCUGCGUCCAAAUCCUAAUAAGGUCUUAUUCCAAUUGAAAACCUAUUAGCUUUUUUUCCCCUCUUUUUUUUUCUUUUGUGUGUGUCCGGCGGGGGAUUGAGUUUUUUCUUUUUUUUUAGAAAAAGGUAACACACUAUCUGUUUUAUUCAUUGAAUUUAUGAAUUAGGCUAUAUGGAUGAGGCAACGGUAGUCUCGGGUGGGAGUGGAAAAAAAAAAAAAACACUCCCUACAUCAGAGCCUCCGAUUAGCCCGAAGUAAAAAUUCCUAAAGGUUCAGAAGUUACUUAAUCCUCCUAAAUACAAGAAGGGGAUCCGGUCGAGCCUUUCUAAAGAUCACGUCGUUUCUAGUCCCCCAAAUAAUUCACUAACAUUGCGACCAAUCCGGUUAACUUCGGGCUCGUCGCUUGCAGUCCGGUCCCAGCGGACCAAUAAUGGGUGUUAAUGGGGCGGAUCAGAUAAGCAGUGCCGUGGACCAGAAUCCGCUAAGCCCAUUAAAUCAACUUGGGAUUCUAAUUGUGCAUAUAUUAAUACAUAUAUAUCUGGGCCCAAUGCAGUACAAACUGGGUCGUGACUCGAAAUCAGAUUAGGUGGAAACAACAUUAAAUGCAUUGUCCCCCCUGAUAAUUAUGCCACGUCACUGUUAUGCCAUAAAUUCUAUUCUUUUACACCCUCCUCUUUGUGAAAAAUUCUAGAAUGCAACGGGUAUAUUAGUGACGUGGCGUAACAAAUCAAUCAAAUUAAUUUUUUUAAAAAUAUAUGUUCCAUCAUGAUUAUAAAAAAAUAUUUUUAUUGUACUUUUGUUUGAAAAGAAGGAAUGUGAUUGGCUUGUUAUUGAUGACGUGGUGGUGCAAGUGUGACAGUGUAGAAUUCCUCCCUCUUUGGCAACAGGCCAACAACUAACUUAAACAAAAGGACUUUUUCUUUUUUUCUUUUUUUCUUUUUUUUACAUUUAGCCCUUUAAUAUUUUUUUUUUUUACAAAUAAUCUUAAUAAAUUUAUAAUUGUAUAAAAAUAUAAAGUAUACUAACUAAAUCUUUAAUCAUAAAAAAUGACGCAUUCCAAGUUUCAAGUCAACAUGCCCUCAACGAACUCAAAUCAACAAACUGAAAAAUUAAAUAGUAAAAUCAAAUUUUUAAAAAAUGGAGUAGCUAAUUCAAAAAGAUUUGUGGCUCAGAUAGUUCCAAUACCUUCUUAUCUAACUUUCACCUGUUCUGAUAAUAUUUAAAACAAAUACAAAUCUCGUCUUAGGACCGUACCCGACUAAAAUAAACAUGAAUCCACUCUGAUGGGAUUUUUGUUCUAUUACGACUAGGCUAUCAUAUUGAUCUCUGAGUCUCAUUUCAUAACCAUGUCUCACUAGAAACAAGAAUUUUAAAUAACUUUAUACUAAUGACAAAUUUAAGAUUACAUGGGAAAGAAAAGCACAUUAGUUGCUCUGUGGAGGGAUCUGAAUUCCAGAAAGAAAUAUACAACUACGACGGCGCCGAGGUAGACCAUGUAGAGCCGGCCAAAUAUCCGAAUUGGAACUGCGGACGAGACCAGAAUUACCACUUCUUGAGUUCCAUACCUUCAGGUGGN